UUGGGGUUGGUGGCUUGUGUUCUGGGAGUGGUUUCUCUCCCUUGGGAGGUUUAGUGGGUGACUUGUGUUCUGGAGGUGGCUUCUCCACCGAAGGCUUGUGCUCCGGUGGUGGCUUUUUGGUUGGAGGGGGCUUGGGGUAAUCAGCAAGAGAUGGGGUGGUGAGAACCACCAGUCCAAGGAACAACACUAGCAAGUAUGUGGGAGACAUUUUUGAGUUUGGGCUGAUCAGAUGAUGCAAAACUAAAGCAUUACGUGACCUUUUAUAGCAAGUAGCUCCCAAUACCUACUUGACACGUGUUACUGUGACCCAUAAAUAUUAUGGGGUCUAUUUGUGCCCUACCGGGUUGAAAACUUGGACAAUUGGGCAAGGACCCGCCUGACUAUGGAGGACUACUGAGGUGUGAUCACAGCUUUAGGAUUUUUCUUCCUCUGCAGCCGUCUUGCCGUUGGCAUGAUUUUCUUAAUCUCAAAUAAAGGCAUAGUUAUAGAGUUGUUUAAUCUCUAAAUGGGAUUUUAUAUAUCUUCAGAUAGCCAUUAAUACAUUUGAUGAAGAAAGAAAGACAAGUGCAUACAACAUGUAUACGACUAGCUUUCAUGGAGUUCAUUUAUGAUCAGUUUUCCUGUACAUGUAAACCAAGAUCAUAUAUGUUUUUGUUCCACAACAAUUUUGGAAUCUUGUUUAUCCGUUUUUAUCAUUAUAAUGUCACAUAGGCUGCCAACUUGGGCGCUAAAUUAAAGAUCCAGUUGGGCAAGUUCGUUUCAGAAUUUCAAUGGUGGAUUCAGGAAUUGUUUUAUAAGAUAUGCAAAAUAGUAGAGGGAUGAAUAGUGUUUCAUUAAGAAAAGAGCCCUGUAAAAAUAUUGUUUAAAGGUGCCAUAGAAACUAUAAUCAAUAAAUAACUUUUUUUCCCCAUGGGUGGUGUUUCUUGUGGGGAUCAGUGACUGGUUUGAGUCAACGCCGUGUCUCUUUAGUCCAGAAAUCAACUAUUUUAUGCAUUGAAUACAUCAACAAAGAAAAUAUGAAAGCCAAAUGACACCUCCCCCGCAAAAACUAAACCCUGGUUGCUAACUUUCUAUGUUUCAGUUCCAUUCACACAAGAAUAUUAGUUCAAGUUUGAGAAAAAUGGCGACUUACCUAGUGAUAACUCGGUCUUGGUUUGCGAUUUGACUUUAACGUCAUGGGUUGAAGCCUCCUACAAUCAUCGUGUAUGCUAGUUCAAAGCUCGUGGAAGAAGUUAUACAGGGAGGGAGAAACCUCCACAGCAAGCUCCAAAAGAGAAUUAUCACAUUGAAAGCUCCAGUUGAACACUGGGUGAAAGCCAUAACAAGAUUGGUUUUCUAUCGCUCUUUUAAGUAAUGGAAGAUUAUUAUCUCUGCUUGUCACUACAACCGUGCAUGCUGCUAGAUCUUUCUAGACACUUCAAACAGUGAAACCAAGUAUGAUUCUUUUUCUCUUGAGUGGGUCCACUUGCAUGCCAAUGAACGAGUUGAAAAGUUGGACAAUUGGCCACAGCGCGCACUUACCUUCUGGAACCGAAGGUCAGUGAAGUGGGGUUCCUUUUGGCCCCUUGUGUUUCUGUUCCAACCUACUCCAGGAACCGAAGUUCAGUGAAGUGGGGCUACUUUUGGCCUCUUGUGUUUCUGUUCCAACCAAACAAAAAUGGGAGGGAAAAAUAGCAUUAUGCUUGUGCUAAAGAUCAACGCAUGAUAGCUGAAUAAGGGAGAAAAAGGCAUUGCUAUCUCAAUUUCAUAAACUUGAUAAGUAGUGACAUUAAUAGUCUUCCUCAUAGAUGGAUACAUGGUUUUAUUUUAUUUAUUUAUUUUUAUUUUUUUGUUUUAUGUCAAUGCUAAUGAAUGAAGUGCAUUAGCUUGUUUUGUGACUAGAACUACAAAUGUCCAAAUUGGAGCUUCUCCAAUAUAUUUCUCAGUGAGUUAUUGAUUAGAACUCUUGGAUUGAGUUCCAAGAUUUGAAUCAGACCCCUCUAGCAGCUUCAGGGGUACGUAGCAACCUAUAGCAUAUUAAUGAAGACUUAGGAUUUAGACUUAGGAAUACAAAUUAAUAUGUACCUCAUGCUCUGACUAGCUUCCCUGCGUAUGCACAAAAUGGAGAUGACUCCCAAAAAAAUAGCAGAAUCGCCUUAGUAUGUUUUUGUGGUUAAGAUGAUUCUCCACUUUAUAUAUCCACAUUGGUUCAUUAUGCAAAUUAAUCAACUAAGCUAUUUUUAUUUUUUCUUAAAUGUGAAAUAGGAGCUCCAAAUUAACCUAACCAUUGGCCUGAUUGAAUUGAUUUCACUUGCAUAAUGUUAUAGUAGAAGUCCGUAAUUUGAAUUUUAUUUUUGCAAAAGGUAACGUAAAUGAAGCAUUGUAAUUAAAUUUAUUUGUAAUUACAAACUAAUUUUAUUUUAUUAAGAAUUAAUUUAAUUACUCAUUUAAAAUAAAAAUCAGUUAUACUUUUACCAAGAUGAUAAUAUUCAUAUUUUUCUAGUUAACAUAUAUAAAAUAGUACACUUUUUCAUAUAAAAAAAUAAUUUAUGAUUUAUUAUAAUGUUACUAUUCACAUUUUACUAAAUUGAUGGUACAUGAUAGUGAGAGAAGGGGGUGUCACACUCAGCUAAAGUUCUUUUCAAAAUAUUGCAUGGUGUUUAAUUUUAUGUGUCGGCGCGCGUGUGAAUGGAACCUGCAAAAGUCCAAAUUGGCGUUUCUCCAUUUUCCACAUAGGAUGGUGACGUUAAUAGACAAAGAUACAAUAUCUGUAGACAUUGCUUAAAAAUCGAUGUGAAGUAUUAGAAAUUACAGGGCACUGUACUGGGGGAGCGGCUGCCCCGCCAAAGGAGGAAGAAUGUAGCAAUUUCUUCUGUUAGCCAGGCCUUAGGAUUUAUGCAUGGGAUGCCUAAUAACAAACAGAGAAAAUAUACUUUUGGGGAAGGUAUCCAACAACAGACACCAUCAUUCAGAUGGUGGGAAGGUAUCCAACAGAUGCCAUCAUUCAGAUGGUAACAUAUAUAUACAUUUAUUAGUGAGUUUUUUUAAUACCUAUAAAAAAAAAUAUACACUUUGAUAUUGUGGCUGAAUCCAUUACAUACUCAACUAACCUUGCUCAUUAGGGAUUUGACUUAACAAGGGCAACGUUGCAGUACAAGCUCAAAACUUUAUGCAGGUGACAUUACAUUUGGUAAAGAAGAGGAAAAUAACGAAAGCCAUCCAUAAAAGCAAAAUUCCACAUGGGAUGAAAUUCACAAGCUUCAUUUACGAUAGAGUCGCAUCCAGGCAAUUAAUUCCACAUUAGACCGCCUGUUGACAUGUGUACCAAUCUUUUUUCAAAAAAUAUUUAUAAAUAAUUGAUACUCACAAAAAUAAUUUAAUAUUUAUAAAGGAUAAAAAAAUAUUUUCAAAUCUAUAACAAUUUAUAAAAUAUUAAUAAAAAAUUAUCUCUUAAACUUAGUAUAGUUUUAUCAGAUUAAACUUUUAUUUUGAACAAAUAAUUUUAAUCUAAGUUUUAAAUUCUAAAAUUAUUUCCUUAAAAUAAAAUUUUAAAAUUCAACACUUCAAUUGAAAUUGUCUUUUUAAAAAAUAUCUUCUUAUUUUAAUCCUUAUAAACUAUAGUUGAUUGAAAAUACUAUUGAAGUUCUCUCUUAAAAAAAAGUCUUAUUUUAAUCUUCAUAAAUUGCCCUUGAUUUGAAAAUAAAUUUUCAGUUAUCAUAUUUUAAAUAAUAUCUAUAUUUAAAAUACUCUAUUUAAAAAAAAAUGAACUAAUUUUAAUUAUAUUAUAUUUUAUUUUUUUAUAUAUUUUUAAUGAUAAACCAAACAUAGAAAAUCAUUUUUCUAAAUAUUUUAAAAUUUCUAAGCAACCAAACAUAAUCUUCAAAAUAAAAGGAAAAUAAGGAGGGACAUUUGAGAAAUGGCGAUUAAAAAAAAGUGUACAAAAGCUCAAUUAAUUUUCUUCUAGUCUUUUAUAUAAAAAAGUAAAGGAAUUGAAAAGUAUUGAUAUGUAAAUUAAUAUUUGGAUUUUAAUAGUAUUUUAUUUGUCUUUCUCUAUCUCAUGUAAAAGAGAAUUUAAGAUAUUUCCUAAAGCAAAGCAUUAGUUAUCUGCAAUCAGUGGUGAUCAUGCCCCAUGUCAAUUUCGGACCCAUAUCUUAAAACUGUAUAAUUUGCAUUCAAACAUUACUGAUUUCUCAGAUGUUUCAUACUCCACAGAAGAGCAUUGUUUGUGAAAGCAUGCAUUUAUGUUGGAUUUUGGAUGAUGUGGGAACUGGGGCAAGGAUCAUAUGGAAGAGUGGUCGAUUUUGUUCUGUACUUUAACAUUUGAAAUAGGAGAAGCUCGGGCAUUUGUGGGGCUUAAUUGAUUUUGAAGCCUGAAAUUGCGUUUCUGUCAUUUUGUAAAAAAUAUGGCAGAUUCCAUGCUCUCAUAUGUUUGGUCUGUGGCCAUGUAUAGAUGCCCCUUAGUGACCAGUUUGUAACUGUCAAUCAUAGUGUUUUGACUCUGGCUCAACAACAUCAGCCAUUGACGGAUUUUCAUACUUGCAAAUCAAAUAGUCUUCUUCCUCCCUUAGGAAUUUCGGUUUAAAUGUUAUUAAGCAUACAUUUGGCUGACAAUUAUUAACCACUUCAUGAUAUGGUUUCUUACCCUUAAUCAAUGGUUUCUAAGUGAAUAUAUGCAGAAGGAAAUCUGAACUGUAGACAGCAGUAUUGAUAACUCUCAAUAUUCUUUAUAUAAGAGAAUAAACAACGUCAUAGUGAUCGUCGCCUACAAGAAAGGUACAUUUCCCAACAAGAUGUAGUUGUGACUGGUACAUGGACGCAAUUAACUCGUACAAAAGAAUAAGACCAGUGCACGGCAGCUCUUAUUUUACAUGCUAAUUAUGCUAACCAAAGUCACUCAGUUGGGAUGGGAGGGAGAUGGAGGUUUGUGCGGUGGCUUGUGGGGCGGAGUUGGUGGCUUCUUUUCAGGAGCUUGUGGCUUUUUCGGAGCUGAAGGAGGCUCAAUCUUAUGAGGCGGCUUGUACGAGUCUUCUUUACUCUCGACAGGAGGGUGGCCAGGGUUGUGACCAUAAUGUGGUGGCUUCUCUCCCUUAGGUGGCUUGCCAACUGGGGUUGGUGGCUUGUGUUCAGGAAGUGGUUUCUCUCCCUUGGGAGGUUUACCAAUUGGGGUUGGUGGCUUGUGUUCUGGGAGUGGUUUCUCUCCCUUGGGAGGUUUAGUGGGUGACUUGUGUUCUGGAGGUGGCUUCUCCACCGGAGGCUUGUGCUCCGGUGGUGGCUUCUCCACCGGAGGCUUGUGCUCCGGUGGUGGCUUCUUGAUUGGAGGGGGCUUGGGGUAAUCAGCAAGAGAUGGGAUGGUGAGAACCACCACUCCAAGGAACAACACUAGCAAGUAUGUGGGAGACAUUUCUGAGUUUGAGCUGAUCAGAUGAUGCAAAACUAGAAGAAUUACGGGACCUUUUAUAGCAAGUAUCUCCCAAUACCCACAUGACACGUGUUACUAUGACCAUAAAUAUUAUAGGGUCCAUUUGUGCCCUACCGGGUUGAAAACUUGGACGCUUGGCCGAGGACACACCUGACUAUGGAGGACUAUUGACGUGUGAUCACAGCUUUUGGAUUUUUCUUCCUGUGCAGCUGUCUAGCGGUUGGCAUUAUUUUCUUAAUCUUAAAUAAAGGCAUAGUUAUAGAGUUGUUUAAUCUCUAAAUGGGAUUUUAUAUAUCUUCAGAUAGCCAUUAAUAUAUUUGAUGAAGAAAGACAAGUGCAUACAACAUGUAUACGGCUUGCUUCAAUCGAGUACAUUUAUGAUCAGUUUUCCUGUGCAAGUAAACCAGUUUUUUGUUCCACAACUAUUUUGGAAUCUUGUUUAUCAGUUUCUAUCAUUAUAAUGUCACAUAGGCUGCAAACUUGGGCACCCAAAGAUCUAGGUGGGCAAAUUUGUUUCAGACUUUCAAUGGUGGAUUCAGUAAUUGUUAAAAGGUGUUUCUUCAUUAAGGAAAGAGUCCGGUAAAAAUAUUGUUAAAAGGUGUCAUAGAAACUAUAAUAAAUAAAUAACUUCUUUUCCCCAUGGGUGGUGUUUCUUCUGGGGAUCAGUGACUGGUUAGGGUCACCCAAAAUGAGUCCAGAUUAAAAUUGGUUCGAGUCAAAGCAGUCUCUUUUGUCCAGAAAUCAACUAUUUUGCGCAUUGAAUGAAUCGAUAAAGAAAAAAUGAAAGCCAAAUCACACCUCCCCUGCAAAACCUAAACCCCGGUUGCUAACUUUCUAUGUUUCAGUCCUAUUCAUAUAGGAAUAUUGGUUCAAGUUUGAGAAAAAUGGCAACUUACCUAGGGUUUACUUGGUUUUGGUUUGCGACUAUUUACGCAACCAACCAUGAGUUUGACUUUAACGUCAUGGGUUGAAGCCUCCUACAAUCAUGUAUGAUAGUUCAAAGCUCGUGGAAGAAAUUAUACAGGAAGGAAGAAACCUCCAAAGCUAGCUCCAAAAGAGAAUUAUCACAUCGAUAGCUCCAGAGAUUCCCAAGGGAACUGAAUCAAAGACAAGUUCCUCACUUUUUCUUCUUUUGAGGCCAAAUAUGAACCAAGGAUCACACGACCUCAUUCAACUUCAUAAGUUUGAUUUCAUGCAGUUGAACACUGGGUGAAGGCCAUGACAAGAAUUGAUUAAAAAAUUCUACCACUCUUUUAAGUAAUGGAAGAUUAUUAUCUCUGAUUGGCACCACAACAGCACAUGCUGCUAGAUCUUUCUAGACACUCCAUGCAAUGAAAGCACAAUGGAUCUUGUAAUGAUAGAAACUAAGCCAUGCUACAGUACUAGAUGAGGGGGUAAAACUAGUAGACAUCUUUCUAGACACUCCAUGCAAUGAAAGCACAAUGGAUCUUGUAAUGAUAGAAACUAAGCCAUGCUACAGUACUAGAUGAGGUGGUAAAACUAGUAGACAUGGCUGGCAGUUGAUUACUACUCAAAAAGUACUCUUUUAUAGCUUGAAACUAACUGUUUUAAACACUUUUGAGUAGUAGUUAAUACCUUUUAACUUAAUUGGCACAUUAAGGAACCUAGCAAGGGUUACUAAUCAACAUUUGGCAAGUUUUGAUGUUUUUGGUAGCUAUUUGAUCAUUGAAACAAGCCAAGAAUGAGGGGGAAUUUUGUGAAGUCCAUGGCAAUGCAAGUUAAAGCUCAAAUACAUGAAGAAUCCAAGCUUUGGAGCACUUCAUAGCCCUUUGCCAAGCCAAUCAAAGAUGCAAGGAAGAAAACCAAAGGAAGAAAUCCAACAAUCAGCAUUUUGGCAUGGCUAUGUGAAAUUUCGCACACCAUGCGAAACCACAAGAGGCAGCCAAAGAAUUUCGCAUGGUAUGCGAAAUCUUCUUGUGCACUGACUCUGUUAGAUUUUUAUCUUCAGAUAUUUUGUGUAAUUUCCUAGUUUCUCCUUGUAACCAACUUAGAUAUUUUCUUUUAUAUCUUUUUUUAUAUUUUUUAGGUAACAUCAUAUAUAAGAGGAGAGACAUAAGGAGGAUAUGGAUGUUUUUCAUAGAACACUUGUAAAUUUUUGGUAGUAAGAAAUAUACAAAGCUUUUUGCUCUGCCUUACCUUCUCAAGGGAUGAGUGGCUAGGUUUUCUUGGAGUGAGGGAAGCUAGGUGAAGGACCUGAAUGCAAAGGUGGGAGUUUUCCUUACUUUAAAUGAAAGUAGUUGUUAAACAUUAAUGGUUUUUAUUUUAAGGUUUAGCUUUAAAUCCCUGAAAAACACCUUGAAUGGCCAAUACUUGGUAAGCUUUUUAGAUUCUAUGGAUGCUUAUUGCUAGAUCCAUGGAUGUCUAUUAGUUAUCAUUUACGAGCCAUUGGAAGGUGAUUCAAGGUGAGGGUCUUUAGUGUUUGAAGCCAUUAAUGGGAAGCAAUUACCAUUUUUUCAUGAAUCCUUUGGAUCAAAUCUUAAUUGCUAAAUAUAAAACCGGUUUCGAGAGAUAACCACCAUCCUUUAUGUUAUUAUCCCCAACGCGAGGAGAAGAUCCGAAAUCUUCCUUUUUAUCUAAGGAACCCGAUCCUAGUGACCUAAAGCUCCAAGAUACCUUUUCUUUGUAGUUAACUUCAUUUAUUGUUUUUGCUUAACUUAAAAUCAAUCUUUGCAACCACAAUUCCAUUUUCUUUAAAAGCUAAUUUUUAUAAGGAAAAACACCAUUUUAUUUCCUUCACUAAGUCAACUGUACGAUGAAAACCCAUCCCUGUGGACGAUCCUAGAGCCACUAUACUAUGUUAGCUAUGCUACCCUAGUGUGAGGUGAUUUAGGUUUUAUAAAUUUUUUUGAUAACACCCAUCUGAGCCAGAAUCAAAUGGCACGACUGAACCAGGGACGAAUCAAAUGACGCCGCUACCAAGGAUGGUGCCAAAGUACAUUGACAUGACUUUUGGUGAACACUUGUGAUCUUCACCACAAGUUUGGUGAUUUUUCUUUUACUAAUUUUUUUUAUUUUAGCUUAUCUUUUAUUUAGUUUUUAGUUAACCUUAAAUUUUUCCUAGAAUUGUAUUUCUUUUGUUUUCUUUGUUUUUGUUUCAGUGAUCUUUAGUUGUGCAUGCCCUAUUGGAUAAGAGAUAUUGAGGGAAUACUUGUGAAGAUUGAAACUCCUCGAGAAACUGAGUUAGAAGUGUGCUUGAACAUCAUGGAUGUUCCACCUGAAGACCAGAAUAGCCAACAUGGUUAAGAGGAUAAUUUCAACACAUACCGAUCCAUGAGGAACCGCAUACAUCCACCUUGUAUGAGUGCACCGUCAGGCAUAAUGCCUCCCACUGAGCAGCUAGUAAUCUGACCUCACAUUGUGCCACUCCUACCUACUUUCCAUGGGAUGGAGAGUGAGAAUCCCUACUCGCAUAUUAAGGAAUUCGAGGAGGUUUGUAAUACAUUCCAAGAAGGAGGAGCUUCAAUUGACUUGAUGAGGCUCAAGCUAUUUCCUUUCACUUUGAAGGAUAAGGCCAAGAUUUGGCUUAAUUCUUUAAGGCCAAGAAGUAUCCAAACUUGGAUUGAUUUGUAAGCCGAGUUUCUUAAGAAGUUCUUCCCUACCCAUAGGACCAAUGGUUUGAAAAGGCAAAAUUUGAACUUCUCAGUUAAAGAGAAUGAGAAAUUCUAUGAGUGUUGGGAGAGCUACAUGGAAGCUAUUAACGUUUGUCCUCACCAUGGCUUUGACACAUGGCUCUUAGUGAGCUAUUUUUACAAUGGUAUGUCUUCUUCAAUGAAGCAACUCCUAGAAACUAUGUGUGGAGGAGACUUCAUGAGUAAGAAUCCGGAGGAAGCCAUGGACUUUUUGAGUUAUGUGGCUGAAGUUUCAAGAGGAUGGGAUGAACCAAAUGCUAGAGAGGUGGGAAGAAUGAAGUCUCAACCUAAUGCUAAGGGUGAGAUGUAUGUUUUGAAUGAAGACAUUGACAUGAAAGCAAAGGUUGCAGCUAUGGCAAGGAGAUUGGAAGAGCUAGAAAUGAAGAACAUACAAAAAGUGCAAGCCAUUUCUGAGACAUCAAUGAAAGCUAUGCCUUGUUCCAUUUGUCAAUCUUAUAAGCACCUAGUGGAGGAGUGUCCUACAAUUCCAGCAGUGAGAGAGAUGUUUGGUGAUCAAGCAAAUGUUAUUGAUCAAUUCAAGCCUAAUAACAAUGCUUCAUAUGGCAACACCUACAAUUCAAAUUGGAGGAACCAUUCAAAUUUCUCUUGGAAACGAAAGCCACCUCAAUACACACAACCUACUCAAGCACCUUAGCAAUCCUCGAAUCUUGAACAAGCUAUUGUGAACCUUAGCAAGGUUGUGGGAGACUUUGUGGGAGAUCAGAAGUCCAUCAAUGCUCAACUGAAUCGGAGAAUUGACAGUGUGGAGAGUACAUUGAACAAAAGGAUGGAUGAGAUGUAAAAUGAUCUGUCUCAAAAGAUAGACAAUGUCCAAUACGUAAUCUCAAGGCUUACCAACCUCAACACAGUGUAAGAGAAAGGAAAGUUUCCUUCUCAACCUCAUCAAAAUCCUAAGGGUAUCCAUGAAGUAGAGGCUCAAGAGGGAGAAUCUUCAAAGGUGAGGGAAGUCAAAGUAGUUAUCACCUUGAAGAGUGGUAAAGAGGUUGAUCAACCCACAUCCAAGCCAAAGCAUAAUGAAGAGAGUGUAGCAGAAAAAGAAAAGAGAGGAAAAUAAAGGAAUUAGAAUAGAGAAAAAUACAAAGAAAGAUGACCAUGAGUCUAGUGUGGAUGAAGAGCCCGAGAGGAUGGUGAUCAAGGAAGAUAUGAUGAAGAAACACAUGCCUCCACCUUUCCCCUAAGCUUUGCAUGACAAAAAAAGAACCAAUAAUACAUCAGAAAAUUUUGAAGUAUUGAGGCAAGUGAAGGUCAAUAUCCCUUUGCUAGACAUGAUCAAACAAGUGUCGACAUAUGAAAAAUUCUUGAAGGACUUGUGCACUGUAAAGAGAGGGUUGAAUGUGAACAAGAAAGCUUUAUUGACCGAGCAAGUGAGUUCCAUCAUACAGUGCAAGUCCUAGUGAAGUACAAAGAUCCGGGUUGCCGUACCAUCUCAGUGAGUAUUGGAAGGACUUGUGUGGAGAAAGCUUUGUUGGACUUGGGAGCAAGUGUGAAUUUGCUAUCCUACUCUGUCUAUAAGCAGUUGGGAUUUGGAGAGUUGAAGCCAAUAUCCAUCACUCUAUCUCUAGCGGAUAGAUCAAUGAAGAUUCCAAGAGGGAUGAUCGAAGAUGUCCUGGUUCAAGUUAACAAAUUCUACUAUCCAGUAGAUUUUGUUGUUCUUGAUAUGGAUCCGGUUGUCAAAUGAACUAAUUAUGUUCCUAUCAUACUUGGAAGACCCUUCCUAGCUACAUCAAAUGCAAUCAUCAAUUGUAGGAAUGGAGUCAUGCAACUCACAUUUGUCAACAUGACAUUAGAGCUCAACAUCUUCCAUUUGUACAAGAAGCAUAUCCAUCAGGAGGAAAAAGAAGGUCUAGAGGAAGUGUGAAUGAUUGACACUUUAGUGGAAGAGCAUUGUGAUCGAGAAUGCAAAAAGAUUUAGUUGAGAAUUUUGGGGAUCUUGAUGAAAGGUUACUUGAACCCUCAGAUUUGCUUGCUACCCUACUCCAUUGGAAGAGAAGAGAAGAAAUUCUACCCUUAUUCAAUGAGGAGGAGACGCAAAGAGCUGCAAAGGAGAAACCCCCAAAACUUAUUCUUAAGCCACUACCCACAGAGUUGAAGUAUGUAUACUUGGAAGAAGACAAGAAGUGCCCUAUUGUUAUAUCUUCAACUCUUACCAUUCAUCAGGAGGAUUGUCUACUUGAAGUCCUUAGAAGAUGUAAGAAGACAAUAAGGUGGCUAAUUUCUUAUUUGAAAGGGAUCAGCCCUUUAGUCUGCACCCAUCAUAUUUACAUGGAGGAUGAAGCUAAGCUAAUUCAUCAACCUCAGAGAAGGUUGAACCCUCACAUGCAAGAGGUGGUUCGAGCUGAAGUUCUGAAGCUACUUCAGACCAGUAUUAUUUACCCCAUAUCAAAUAGCCCAUGGGUGAGUCCUACUCAAGUUGCGCCAAAGAAGUCUGGGAUCAUGGUGGUGCAAAAUGAUAAGGGAGAAGAUGUCUCUACACGCCUCACUACAGGUUGGAGGGUGUGUAUCAAUUACAGGAGGUUGAAUGCAGUGAUAAGAAAGGACCAUUUCUCAUUGCCCUUUAUUGAUCAGGUGCUUGAGAGGGUCUCUGGGCUUUUUUUUUUAUUGUUUCUUGGAUGGCUACUCCGGGUACUUUCAGAUAGAAAUUGAUGUUGAAAACCAAGAUAAGACCAUUUUCACAUGCCCAUUUGGAACCUAUGCAUAAAGGAGAAUGCCUUUCGGCUUAUGCAAUGCACCCGCAACUUUCCAAAGAUGCAUGUUAAGCAUUUUCAGUGAUAUGGUGGAGCGUAUUAUGGAAGUCUUUAUGGAUGAUAUCACCAUUUAUGGAAGUGCAUUUGAUGAAUGCUUGGUCAACUUAGAAGCUGUUCUGAACCGAUACAUUGAGAAAGACUUAGUGCUUAACUGGGAGAAGUGCCAUUUCAUGGUACACCAAGGGAUUGUCCUUGGGCACAUUAUCUCCAAGCAAGGCAUUGAAGUUGACAAAGCAAAGGUUGAACUCAUUGUUAAGUUGCCAUCCUCAACAAAUGUCAAAGGAGUAAGGCAAUUCUUUGGCCAUGUCGGGUUCUAUAGGAGGUUUAUCAAGGAUUUCUCUAAGCUUGCAAGGCCUCUUUGUGAAAUAUUGGUGAAUGAUGUUAAAUUCAUAUGGGAUGAUGGAUUUGAAAGGAGUUUUGAAGAAUUGAAGCUAUUUUUGACAACCGUACCAAUAGUGAGGGCUCCCAACUGGCAACUGCCCUUUGAAGUAAUGUGUGAUGUCAAUGAUUUUGCUAUAGGAUUUUUUCUUGGGCAAAGAGAAAAUGGAAAACCUUAUGUGAUCUACUAUGCGAGGAAGGCAUUGAAUGAGGCACAAAGAAACUACACAACCACCGAGAAAGAAUUGUUAGCUGUAGUUUUUGCCUUGGAUAAGUUUCGCGCUUACUUGGUGGGGUCCUUCAUCAUGGUUUUUACUGAUCACUUUGCUUUGAAGUAUCUGUUGACUAAGCAAGAUGCUAAAGCAAGGCUGAUUAGAUGGAUUCUCUUACUUCAAGAGUUCAAUCUCCAUAUCAAAGAUAAGAAAGGAGUGGAGAAUGUGGUAGCAGACCACAUUUCAAGGCUAGCUAUCGCACAUAAUUCCCAUGCUUUGCCCAUUAAUGACGAUUUUCUAGAGGGGUCUCUCAUGUUGGUGGAAGUUGUCCCUUGGUACGCUCACAUUGCUAACUACCUGGUCACGGGAAAAGUUCCAAGUGAGUGGAAAGCACAAGAUAAGAAGCACUUCUUUGCAAAAAUUCAUGCCUACUAUUGGGAAGAGCCAUUUCUAUUCAAGUAUUGUAUGGAUCAGAUAAUAAGGAAGUGCGUUCCUGAAGAAGAGCAACAGGGGAUCCUUAGUCAUUACCAUGAAAAUGCAUGUGGAGGCCACUUUGCUUAUCAAAAGACAGCCAUGAGGGUGUUGCAAUCGGGUUUCUGUUGGCCAUCACUUUUCAAAGAUGCCCACACCAUGUGCAAGAGUUGUGAUCGAUGCCAGAGGCUUGGGAAGUUGACACGCAGGAACAUGAUGCCUUUGAACCCCACUUUAAUAGUUGAUAUUUUUUAUGUUUGGGGCACUAACUUCAUGGGACCUUUCCCUAUGUCUUUUGGCUACUCUUACAUCUUGGUAGGAGUAGAUUAUGUUUCUAAGUGGGUUGAGGCAGUCCCAUGCAAACACAAUGACCAUAGAGUGGUUCUCAAGUUUCUUAAAGAGAAUAUCUUCUCAAGAUUUGGGGUGCCCAAAGCCAUAAUUAGUGAUGGGGGUACUCAUUUUUGCAACAAGCCUUUUGAAACUCUCCUAGCCAAGUAUGGGGUGAAGCAUAAGGUAGCUACACCUUACCACCCUCAAACUCAUGGACAAGUUGAGUUAGCAAACAGGGAGAUUAAAAACAUAUUGAUGAAGGUGGUGAACACAAACAGAAAAGAUUGGUCAGUCAAGCUUCUUAAUUCACUAUGGGCAUAUAGAACAACUUACAAGACCAUUCUCGGGAUGUCUCCUUAUCGCCUAGUUUAUGGCAAAGCAUGCCAUCUCCCUGUGGAAUUGGAAUACAAAGCUUGGUGGGCAAUCAAGAAGCUCAACAUGGAUUUGAGCAGAGCUGGGUUGAAGAGGUUCUUAGACCUUAAUGAGAUGGAGAAAUUGAGAAAUGAUGCCUACAUCAAUUCAAAAAUUGCAAAAGAAAAAUUGAAGAGGUGGCAUGAUCAGUUGAUUUCCCGCAAGGAUUUUCAAAAUGGACAAAGAGUCUUACUUUAUGACUCUAAACUCCACAUCUUUCCGGGCAAGCUGAAAUCAAGGUGGAUAGGUCAUUUUACCAUUCACCAAGUGCAUUCAAAUGGAGUAGUGGAACUACUCAACUCCAACAAUAUCGAGAACUUCAAAGUGAAUGGCCACCGUCUCAAGCCCUUUGUGGAGUCUUUUUCUCACAACAAGGAGAAAUUCAUCCUCCUUGAUCCACAUCAAGCUUAACAAGACCAAUUUUCUUGAUGGACUUAGUCUUUCUAAAGACUAUCGAGUCCAUAACUUUUUGUUUUAUUUUUUAUUUGAGAUUUUUUCGGUAUUGUUACUUGUUUUGUUUUUUAUUUUUCGUUUUAAUUUUAUUUGGUUUGAUUUAACUUAGGUUUUUGAUGAUCAAUUACAGGGGGGAUUUCAAAUAGAGGAAAAACCAAGAUAAUUCGCACACCCUACGAAAAUUUCGCAAGGCAUGCGAAAUUUAUGGCUUAUUUUGCAUGGGGUGAAAAUUUUCGUACAUCUUACGAACCAAUUUCGAACACUUUGCGAAAAUAAACCAACCCUGCGAAAUCAUUUCGAUUACUCUACGAAAUUUUCGUAGAGCAUGCGAAAAAUUUAGCACACCAAACACCAUUUCGCAUACUAUGCAAAAACCUAAGGGGUCUGCGAAACCAUUUCGCACCUCCAAAUCCAUUUCGCACAUUGUGCGAAAACCAAGAGGCGCUGUGCGAAAAUGAAAAGUCGCCCUGUCAUCCCUUUUUAAACCCCUCGAGCCCUAAAAUCUCCAUUUCGCAAGCACCCCUGUCCUUGCGAAUCCCUCAUUUUCCUCUACUACCUUGCAACCUCGUCCCUUUCCAUUUGAUAUUGUGCCCCGCGCACAUCUCAUUUCAGAGACUCGCACUCCGCGCCCCCUCAAAGCAUGGACUCGAGACCCACCUUCCAUUUCCGACGUGGCACGGACCCAAGGAGCCCUUUCUGCCCCUUCACUAAGACACACACCAAGGCAGAAAGCCUCCUUUGCUCAAGUGCCUAGUGAUUCUCCAUCUUAGGCCUCAGAGGCCUCGGAGGCCCCGUGGAUUCCACCUUCCGAGGGUAGAGCAGCCAUUGGUCCUUCCUCUUCUACUCCUUAGCGUAGAUACGAGACGAGGAGACCACCUACUACACAAGGGGCGACUACUUCGAGCCUUGAGAAUUCAGUACGAUGCCUUCCUGCCAAGAGGGUCAAGACUUCAGGUCCAAGUGAGUCAUCCAGAGCUUCAUAGCCUAAGCCUCCUGUAGAUUCCAAGGUUCCUACUGACAUAUCACCGGAGUCUAUUAUCAGAAGCCCGAUGCUCAUAGCACCGCCCAUUGAGGGCAACUCAGAUUAUAGAGCGAGAUCUUUCCACUUGGAGCUAUAUUUUGAUCAGGAGGCCAUACGACAGCAGCCUGAGCUCCGAGACUCUUAUGGCUUACUGCAGAGGUACCAUCUUGAGGAACUUAUGACUCCUCGUGAGUUUUUUUAUCCCAGAGUAGCACUAAACUUUUACCAGUCCAUGACUACUCGUGGCGUCCCGAGUCCUACCACGAUUCACUUCACCAUUGAUAGACGUCAUGGUAUCCUCAAGGCCAGACAUAUUACAGAGGCUCUACAAAUUCCUUUCGAGCUAGAGGAUCCAUCUGUUUUUCGCUAAUGGUCCCCAGUAUCUCAGAGGGACAUGGUCCGUAUUUUAUCUAGGGGAACAUCUACAGAUUCGAUCUUUCUACGGAAGGAGCUUCGACCUGGGAUGCUCCUCUUAGAUGUGGUGCUAUGCUCCAACCUCUUUCCCUUACAACAUUCGGUACAUAGGUGAUGAGCUAUUUUGGACGCUUUAUUCCGUAUAUCAGAGGGCUUCUACUUUGGCCCGCACCACUUGAUCAUGGUCUCCCUCAUCCACUUUGAGGAGAAGGUUCAUAGGAAGAAGCUUCAGAGGGUGGACACCAUUCCAUUACUAUUCCUGAGGUUACUUUGCCAGGUCUUGGAGUACAUGGGCUUUCCUACUGAGCCUCGGCUCGAGCUUUGCCGCCUUUGUCGAGAGUGAUCCACUCUCGACAAAUGGAAUUAGUUGGCGGGCUAUUCUGCACCUCCAGGAGCCCCUCCCAUGGUAGCACCUCCAAUGUCCCCACAGGCAAAGUAGGGCGAGCUCCCGGCAAAGACUGUACCACCAAUGCCCACACUUGAGGCUAUUUCUGCUGCUCUGCCUAUGACUCCUACUGUUCCACCAGUUGGUCCUUUUACAUCCGAGCCUUCCAUCACCAUCUCGGCUUCGGAGUUUCGCGCCCUUGUGCAUACCUUUCAGACACUCACCACCACACAUACUCCUCUCUUCUAGCAAAUGGUUGAGAUGUGUGCCCAUCAGGACCGGAAGACUACUAUACUCUGCCAAAUUCAGCAGCACCUAAGACUUUUGCCUCAACCUCAACCUAACCAUCCCAUAUCAUCAGAGCCUCUAGCUCCAACUGAGGAUACUAUUCCACCUGAGAACACUACCACAGUAGAGGUCCGGUUUCCACCACCUUAAGAGGCCACCACAGCUACAUCAGAGGAUGUGUCAUCUCCACUUGAGGCUCCCACUACUUGAUCAUAGGACAUAUCUUUAUCUUAUUGUAUUUACAUAUUAUAUUACUAGAGAUUUGUCCUUGUUUUGAUACUUUAUAUUCUGGGAUUGGAUGUAUUGCCUGAUGAUAUCUCAAUUGUACUUUCUCAUAUUAAUAUAUAGACAUCAAUUUUUUUUAGUAUACUUAGCAUUUUUCUAUUUCCUCUACUCAUUACUCUUUUGUUUUUUUUUACUCAUGUGGUUUCUCUUAUACAACUCAGACUCCAUUUCACUCAGGAGGUACCACUUCCUCCCUUUAUUUUCAAUUGCUCUUGAAAUAUUGAGUGCAAUGUUGAUCUUGGUUGGGGGGAGAGUUGAGGAAGGAAGUUUUGUUAAUAAUGCUAGGUUAAUUUGUUAAUUUAGUUACUUUCUGCUUAAUUUUAAAAGUUUUCACUCUACUUUCCAUGGUUAUUAAGGAAAAAUUCUCAAAAUGAAAUGGGAGAAAUCGAAUUCUUGCAUUUUUACUUGAAUCUUAGAAUUUGUAUCAUGCUUAUUAAAGUUGAUGAAUUAUUGAAACUCCUAUUGAAUUCAACCUUAUUUUUUCCACUUUAAUCUUACCACACACGGUGCACAUUAGGUUCCAGUUAUAAGAUAAAAAACUAUCUCACCCCCUAAACUUAGAAAAAUUUACACUUGGUACCUUUGACAUCGUUUUAAUAGUGUUGGGACACCUUAUAAAAGGCCAAUGAGCCUUUAAAAAAAAAAAAAAAAAAAAAAAGAGAAAGAACAAAGUAUUGCACUUGCCUUGAAACCUGAGCAAGAUCCGAGGGGUAUACAGUGAAAGUCUUUAAAACCUGGUGCCCUAAGCCUUGAUUGGUUGGGAGUCACCGACCUCAAUGCUCGUUAUAAGGGUGAAUAGGUGGAGUUUAACAUAUUGUAGGUGCUUGGGUAUUGAAUUUCAAUCUCAAAAGUCCGGGAAAAAAUCUAAGGAGUUAGUGGUCAAAAGAUCCUUAAAGCUUGAUGCCCUAAACCUUGAUUGGUUGAGAGUCAUUGAUGGAUCCCCGCUACAUGGACAUUUUAGAAAACAAUACCUUUAGCAUUGCACGCCUACAAUGAAAAAAAAAUGUGAAAUAAAAGAGGUGCGUUCUUAGCCUAUUGGAGGUUGGUCAGUUUGCUAAAGUUUGAGAAAUCUAGGUUGGGGGGAGAGAAUAGUCCGACAUACUAUAAUAAAAAACUAAUAACCUUAACACUUAGAUUUUUGUGGAAGAGUAAGGAUUGGACCUUUAGGGGUGGAAAUUCUUUUGAUGCUUAAAUUUGCAUAAUGCCUACUCUUUAUAAAUUAUGAUUAGGCAAGAGAUUUGAUGACUCUUGUUCAAAGUUGGGUUUUUCCUCUUUGAUGUUCCAUGAGAGAGUAUAAUCCUCAUCAUGCCACUUGAAAUCUUUUUGGAGUGAUUAACAUGAUUUUGUAAAUUAUUUUACUGUCUAUUUUUCUUUAUCUCUCUUUUAUUGCUAAUGGACUAGCAAUAUGUCAGUUGGGGGGAGUGAUUACUACUCAAAAAGUACUCUUUUAUAGCUUGAAACUAACUGUUUUAAACACUUUUGAGUAGGUGUUAAUACAUUUUAACUCAAUUGGCACAUUAAGGAACCUAACAAGGGUUACUAAUAAGUUUUUGGCAAGUUUUGGUGUUUUUGGUAGCUAUUUGAUCAUUGAAACAAGCCAAGAAUGAGGGAGAAUUUUGUGAAGUCCAUAGCAAUGCAAGUUAAAGCUCAAAUACAUGAAGAAUCCAAGCUUUGAAGCACUUCAUAGCCCUUUGCGAAGCCAAUCAGAGAUGCAAGGAAGAAAACCAGAGGAAAAAAUCCAACAACCAGCAUUUUCGCAUGGCUGUGCGAAAUUUUGCACACCAUGCGAAACCACAAGAAGUAGCCAAAGAAUUUUGCACACCAUGCGAAAUUUCGCAUGGUAUACGAAAUCUUCCUAUGCACCAACUCCGUUAUAUUUUUAUCUUCAGAUAUUUUGUGUAAUUUCCUAGUUUCUCCUUGUAACCAACCUAGAUAUUUUCUUUUAUAUCUUUUUUUUAUAUUUUUUAGGUAACAUCAUAUAUAGGGGGAGAGACAUAAGGAGGAUAUGGAUGUUUUUCAUAAAACACUUUUAAUUUUCUGGUAGUAAGAAAUAUACAAAGUUUUUUGCUCUGCCUUACCUUCUCAUUUUGUUUUCACCUAUCUUUCUAGCCAAACAACCUCUGAGAAUGAUUUCUCAGGGGAUGAGUAGUUAGGUUUUACGUUUCUUGGAGUGAGAGAAGCUAGGUGAAAGACCCAAAUGCUAAGGUGGGAGUUGUCCUUGCUUUAAAUGAAAGUAGUUGUUAAAUAUUAAUGGUUUUUAUUUUAAGGUUUAGCUUUAAAUCCCUUAAAAACACCUUGAAUGGCCAAUACUUGGUAAGCUUUUCGGAUUCUAUGGAUGCUUAUUGCUAGAUCCAUGGAUGUCAUUAGUUAUCAUUUAUGAGCCAUUGGAAGGUGGUUCAAGAUGAGAGUCUUUAGUGUUUGAAGCCAUUAAUGGGAAACAAUUACCAUUUUUUCAUGAAUCCUUUGGAUAAAAUCUUAAUUGCUAAAUAUAAAACUGGUUCGGGAGAUAACCAUCCUUUAUGUUAUUAUGCCCAAUGCAAGGAGAAGAUUUCGAAUCUUCUCAUUUGUCUAAGGAACCCGAUCCUAGUGACCUAAAGCUCCUAGAGACCUUUUCUUUGUAGUUAACUUCAUUUAUUGUUUUUGCUUAACUUAAAAUCAAUCUUUGCAACCACAAUUCCAUUUUCUUUAAAAGCUAAUUUUUAUAAGGAAAAGCACCAUUUUAUUUCCUUCACUAAGUCAACUGUAUGAUGAAAACCCAUCCCUGUGGACGAUCUUAGAGCCACUAUACUAUGUUAUCUAUGCUAUCCUAGUGUGAGGUGAUUUAGGUUUUAUAAAUUUUGUUGAUAACACCCGUCUGAGCCAGAAUCAAAUGGAACCACUGAACCAGGGACAAAUCAACAGCCUAUAUGGGAGGGACACAAGUUUAAUUGAUUUGCAUUUCAGCGUUAUAGAUAAGUAUGUUUUGGAAGAUUUGUUCUGGAAAUACUGCACCAAGUACGAUUCUUUUUCUCUUGAGUGAGUCCAUUUGCAUGCCAAUUAACGAGUUGAAAAGUAGGAGCACCUACCUCGUGCUCAUGGAACCGAAUGUCAGUGAAGUGGGGCUCCUUUUAGCCUCUUGUGUUUCUGUUCCAACCAAGGCGGCGUAGGGAAAAACAACAAUAUGUCUGUGCUAAAUAUCAACGCAUGAUAGAUGUUUUUUUUUUUUUUUUUGGUAUGUCAAGGCUAACGAAUGAAAUGCAUUAGCUUGUUUUGUGACUAUAACUGCAAAUGUCCAAAUUGGAGUAUCUCCAUUUCUCACUUCGGAUGGUUAACUUUAUAAACAAGAUAUAGGAAACAUGUGAACAUCUUGAGGAACAAUUCAAAUUAUUCAUUAGAAGUCCUGGGUUAAGUUCCAAGAUUUAAAUCAGACCCUUCUAGCAGCUUCAAGGGUACUUAGCAACCUAUAACAUAUUAAUGAAGAUUUAGGAUUUAGACUCCGGAAUACAAAUAAAUAUGUAUCUCAUGCUUUGACUAGCUUCCCUACAUAUGCAUAAAAUGGAGAUGACCCAAAAAAAAUAGCAGAAUCUAGCUUCCCUACAUAUGCACAAAAUGGAGAUGACCCAAAAAAUAGCAUAAUCGCCUUAGUUUCUGUGGUUAAGGUGAUUCUCCGCUUAAUAUCCACAUUGACUCAUUAUGCAAAAUCAACUGAGCUAAUUUUAUUUAUUUAUUUAAUGUCAAAUAGGAACUCCUAAUUAACUGAUUACUGUCGAAAAGUGCUAUUUUGUAGACCUAAUUAUAAGGGUUUUAAGCACCUUUGAGUAGUAAUCAUAUUCAUUUAACCUAAUUAAUUCAUUAAGCUCCUUAGUAAUUAGUUCUAACCAUUUUUAGUGGCAAGUUUACAUGUUUUUCAUCAGCUUAUGAACCAAUUCAAGCAUGCCAAUUGAUGGAGGAGCUACUUGGGCGAGUUAAGCAAGGAUUUUGGACGUUUACAGGCUUGAAUUUCAAGUGGAAACACGAGCACAAGCAAUGGGAACACCAUUUCGCAAGGGGAGGCAAUUCACCUUGCCAAAUGACCAAUUUCGCAAGGGGAUUUUCCUCAUGGUGCAAAAUUUGGUCAUUUCGCACCAUGAAGAAACCACCUUGCAAAAUUUCGCAAGGUGGAUUUAGGCACCUUGCGAAAUGCCAAAUUUCACAAGGUGGCUUUUCACCUUGCGAAAUUUGGACCUUUCAUCUUCCCCCCUUGCGAAAUGCCUUUGAAAUCCCCUGUUUUGAGACGCUGUUGAUGAUAUUCCACUGCCGGUUCUCCAAGAUAUUUUGCUUGACUUUUAGCUUUAUAAAUACCUAUUUUACCCUUGUAAUCAACCAAUGAAAAGGUUGCUUUUGUAAUAGCUCUUGUAAUUUAGCUUUUUAUUGUCUUUAAAUAGAGGUGAAGAGCCUCAGACACGAUCAUCUUGUAACCUGUAACUUUAUAAGUUAUAAGAGCACUUUUGUUCAUACGCUUCUUUUCUCUUUUCUUUCUCAUUUUCUUAGUAGCCAAACAUCCUUGGAGGAUGAAAUCCCCAAGGAUGAGAGGCUAAAACCUUUUAGUUUCUUGAAGUAAUGGAUGCCAUGUGAAGCUCCCGUGUCAGGAUGGAGAUUUCCAAGCCAUAAAUGUAAGUAGCUGAGCGUCAUAAAUGUUUUCAUUCAAAGUAAAGCUUUUAAUCCCUCUGACUUGCUUUGAAUGGCCAAUACUUGAUAACCUUUUGGUCUCAAUGGAUUCUUAUUGUUAGAUCCACUGACGUUCAUUAGUUAUCUCCUACGAGCCAUUGUAUUGCAAGUCGAGGAGAUGACCUAUACCAAUAAAAGAGCAUUUAUGAGGUUCAACUACCCUUUUUGUAAGUUUUCAAGGACUAAAACUCAGUUGUUAAACUCAUACCGGUUCGAGAAGUAAGCAUCACCUUAGUUGCUUCCCCAACUCGAGGUGAAAAGUCCCAAAAUCUCCAUUUUUACACAGUGAGUUAAGCAUGGCUAUCCAAAGCUUUAAGAAACUUCUUUUUCCAUCUUUUAACCUAUUUUCAUGUUAGUUUAGUUUACAACACCUUCAUCUUUUUAUGUUUUCAUCUUAACCUAAUUUUUAUUAAGAAAAGUUCACUCCAUCCUCCGAACUUCACCAGUUAAAGUAAAAACCCUUCCCAGUGUUCGAUCCUAGAGCCACUAUGCUAUAGUAGCUUUGCUACUUUAGUGUAAGGACCUUAGGUAUAAAUUUUGUUGAUACCCUUACAUGCCAAGCUACCAAGAGUCGGGUUAUCAUUAACCUAACCAUUGGCCUGUGUAAAUUGAUUUCACAUGCACAAUGUUGUAGUAGAAGUCCAUAUUUUGAAUUUUAUUUUUGUAAAGGUAAGGAAAAUGAAGCAUUGUGUAAUUAUAAAAAUAACUUCAUUGGAAUUCACAAGGUUCACCCAAAAUGGAGCUACAUCUGUAUUCUAUCCUACAGUAGACUAUAUAGAUUGUACAAUAGUAAAUUGCAAAUACAAUUAAUAAGUCUUGUGCUUCCUUACUAAUAAUCCUUUGACAUGAACAUUGCAGCACUAAGGUCCUCUUGGGAAGACACCUUGCACCCAUGAGAGCACUAAGAGGAAGCAAGGCAGAGUCAUGGGUGCAAUGUCAUGACUUGUUGUUGCACCAAGAGAGGCUUGGUGAUGCCAUGGUGUUGCAGUAGCAAGAAUGUUGCCUUGGCAGGGACACGAUCUAGGGAUAGAUGCCAAGAAAGGCUUAGCACUCACAUGAGUUGCACAAAGAUGAAUGUAAUAGAGCAUCAGAGAGACGUCUUGGCAAGUAAAUGAAUGGAUCCAAGAGACAACAACAUGAGGAGUUUCAAAUGGAUAAGGAAUGACUCAAAGACAUUUGAAAGCUACAAGUUGGAUUCUAAUUACGAUUGCAAUUUGAGUUUGAGUAGGAGUUUAGAUUUUGAUUGUAAUUGUAGUAUGAGUUGGACUAGGAUUGCUUAUCCUUAGUCAAUAUAGGAGCGGUUCGUGUCACCCUAUGAAAAGAGUUUGAGUAGGGACUAGGAUUGCUUACUCCUAGUCAAAUAUGGAGUAGGUGGUGCCACACCUAUAAAAAAAAGGGACAACAUGAGAGAGAGAGAGAGAGAGAAAGAGAGAGUGAAUUCACUAAAGAUAUUGUGGGAGUUUUGCUUUGUUACGUCUUGUAUUAUUACUUAGAAUAGGAAUAAAAUACAAGUUGGGGCUAGAGCCCCAUAAUUAAUCUCGUGUGCCUUUGUGGUUAUUCUUUAUUUGUCAUCUCGUGUGGAUUGGAUUAGGUUGACUUAGAGGGCUUCUAAGCACCACCUUUGUGGGUUAUUAUUUAUUUUCCAUCUCUUGUGGAUUAGAUUAGGUUGACUUAGAGGGCUUCUGAGCACCACCUUUGUGGGUUAUUAUUUAUUUUCCAUCUAUUGUGGAUUAGAUUAGGUUGACUUAGAGGGCUUUUAAGCACCACAUUUGUGGGUUAUUCUUUAUUUUCCAUAUCGUGUGGGUUGGAUUAGGUUGACAAGGAGAAAAAUUAUGUGGGAAAUUUGUGUUGGGACACUUACCAUAACCAAGUAAAAUCUACCAAGUCCUUUGUAAUAUCUUCAACAAAUAUUUUAGACUAGUUCUUUCAGUUAGUGUAAAGGAGGAAGAAGUGGUAUUGAUUCUAGAAAUAGGGUGUGUGUAUUUGAACUACAAUCCUUAUGAUCCUUAGGUCUCUAAACCUUCGUGAUGGGCUCCCUGACAUUUCAUAGGUUGUGCUACACAUGCGUUUGAAAUUUAGAGUGCGUUUGACAGUGAUUCCGGGAAGUGUUUUUGGCCUUUCUUACACUUGAAAAUUUUUAUUUUUCAAGUAUUAGAAAUGCUACAAACACUUUUGAAAAUUACUGUCAAACACACUCUUAGGAGCGCACAUAUAUAGUAGAAAACUAGAAAUUGUGGUUUUUUUAGGAUUUACUGUAAUGUCAUUAGGAGGGUAGUAAGUUGAAAUUGAGUAUGAACAAAUAUUUCUUUCUUUGGGAUGUUCUUCUAGUAGGUGCUGAUGAAACUGUUCUUUCUACUGCCAAUGUCACAUAUCAGCCAGAAAUUGAAAAUUUCAGUCAAGGUGUCCUCUGUUUUAGUGGUGAGGAAAGCUAGAAAUUUUAAGGUGAAGUUUUGUUAAAAACCUUAAGUAGCUGGGAUAUCAGGCCUGUUUUGCUUGAAAAAAAAAGUUGCAAGAUAACUCAUAUGCCAAACAGGUUCUGAUAUUGUGAAUCUAUCGGCAGACAUCAGUAAUCUCAUCUUCUGAGAUGGAUGUUGGGGGUGCAUGUGGUGGUGGAGGGGCAAGGUUUCAUUUGGUUUAUUUUGUUGAUGGAUAUUGUCUAGCCACCUGCGCCAAGUUUGAGGGGUGGUGGGUUGUGAUGACCCUACAAUUACUAUUAAUUUCUUCAUCUUUUACCGAUUAAAGUGUCCGAACAGUCGAAGUUACCCUUAUGCAUGUCAACUUGAUCACUUACCUCUUCAAUGGAGUUUAUGCUGGUUCAUUUAGGAACUGAUUUUUAUUGUUAUGUAUUAUAUGCUGAUGUUUAGGUCUCUCCAUCAUCACUAUAUACAAAAAUUCUAGGUUGAUACUAUAGGUUGAGAUUUAUUUUUUAAAUAAAAAAUAAUAAAAAUAAAAAUUAUGGUGAUGUUUAGUUGUUUUAUGGAAAAUUUUAACAAGUAAAAGUUAUUUUUGGGCAAGUUUUCAAACAAAAAGAAAAGUAAAAGUUGUUUUGACAAAAACAUAUAGAAAAAAAAAUCAUAGAAAAUAAAUAAUUUCCCCAUAUUCUAACUUUUUUGAAUUUUUCUCAAUGGGCAAAGGAAUAUCAAAUCAAGUUUGAGUAGGAUUUCUUAAUUUUUAAAAUAACUUACAAUUAAAAAAUUUUGGUGUUUUCAUUUUUGGACAAUUUUUUAUUAAGCAAAUGGACUCUGAGUCAUGCAAGAGAUAUGGUUCAUUAACCGGUCGAACAAUUUUUUUAAAUUAAUUUAAAAGUCAAAUACAUAAUCAAUUUCACAAAAUUUAUAAACAAAAAUAGGUUUAGAGAAGAUCUACACAUAAUUUUACUUUUCUAAUUUUAUUUUAUUUUAUUUUUUGUUGGAAAAUAGUCUUCAAAUCAUGUAAGAUUUAAUAGGUUAAAUUUGUUAACAAUAAAUUUUAAAUUAUAAAAUAUAAUCUGGAACUCAAAAAUCAAUUCAAGUAAUGCUAAAAAAAAAUCAAAUUUGGUAUAGAAUGACUUUGUAAAUUUUUUUACAAAACAAAUGAAUUUUAAAUCAAGUGAGAUUUAAUGCAUUAGAUUUUUAUCAAAUAUAGUAAUUUUAAAAAUAAAUUUGGAACUCAACAAUAGACACAAUAAAUACCAAAAAAUAAUGAACCAAAAUUGGUUUGGAAUAACUCCACAACCUUUUUUUUUUUUUUUUGGUGCACACGAAUUUUCUUACUAGGUAUAUUGCUUUCAAAUUGAGAAAGAUUUACCAUUUAGAUUUUUUUUUAAUGAGUUUAAUGGUAUUUUAAAAUAAUUCAAAAUUUAAAAAAUUGACUAAUUAAUAUUAUAAAUUGAUAAACCAAGACUAUUUCAAAAUGCAUUGGGGGCUAAGGGGGUUGAAAAUAGGGACAAUGGGAUGGGUUUGGGACAUGACACUCAUAUCUCAUUUCCAUUCCAAUUACACAGUUAUCUCCCAUCCUUAUCCCAAACUUGUGUUGGAGCAAGUUGAUUUGUUCCCAUCUUUGUUGACGAAAUGACUAAUAACCUCAUCCCCUCCUUAUCUUAGAUGUACAUUUUGUCAAAUUUGAUCAGGUAUGAUUGAUCCAAGCCCUAACCCUAAUUGGUAAUGAGUGAAUACUACACCUAAUUGCAUUCUUCUUUCAUUGCAAAAUAAUGAGAUUAUAAUAAUCUAGCAAAUAAGAAAAAAUAGUAUGGAAGUUCAAAUUAACACCAUAACUAUCAAUAAUUUUAAGCUUAUAGAUGACUUAAAUGAUUAAAAACUAAUGCAAAAUCCUAAAAAAAAUAAAAAUCAUAUAAAGAAUUCACAAGAGAACAGAAUGAACAAAAACCAAAUAUGAACAUGGGUCAACAUUAGUUAUGGAUUUGGAUUCCUUUCAAGGCCAAUCUUUGAACCAAGACUUCAUCAAAUCAACUACUUCAAAGGCUUUUGUGUUCUUCUUGGGUUGUGCUCUCAAACAAAGACUUCGAGGUGAUGUUCUAGAUGAUUGAAUUACACAUAUUUAGGGUGGAGAGAUUGGAGAAGCUUGAAGAUGCCAACGAUGGGUACAAUUGAGUGGUCAAUAAGAACAAUGUAGCCUAUGACUAGUUUGAUGUCAUGGUACAAGAGUUUUAGGCAUUGAGGUUAAAGCAAGAGCAACAUGGAAUUGAUUUCGGAGUCUUUCAGUUAGUGUAAAGGAGGAAGAAGUGGUGUUGAUUCUAGAAAUAGGGUUUUAAGUGGUGCGUGAUUACUACUCAAAAAGUGCUAUUUGAUAGCCUUUAAUUAAUCCUUUUUAACACUUUUGAGUAGUAGUUUAGGCCUUUUAACUCAAUUGGCAUGUUAAGGAUCCUUUAAAGCAAUUUUGAUCACUUUGUGCAAGUUUUGGUGUUUUUGUUAGUAUUUUGAUCACCAAAGCAAGUCAAGAAUGAGGAGAACUAUGAGGAAUCAUGGGCAAAGCUUAGAAUUCAAUUGCCAAGAGUGAAUCCGGAUUGCAAGGAGAAAAAGCAAAGAGAAUCUGUCAUGAAGCCUAUUCUUGAUGACAGUCGUAGCAGCCACUUUUGGAGCACUUUCUGAAGUCCAAAUGAUGCAAGCUAUAUACCAUUUCAAAGAUCAGGAAGUCAACAAUCCAAUGCUUCAAACGGUGCGCGAUUCGGAGUUGAAACGAAGAAGUUGCAGCCAUUACAAGCCAGUCACUCUAAAGUGUUGCGGAAUCAGCCUUUUGUUGCGAGAAUUUCGCAGCACUUUUGUACAGUAAGGUGUUUCUCCUUCUGACGAUGCACGAACCAUGCCGCGAGAGGGAAGCUAGGAACUUCAAGAUGGAAGCCAACUUUGCAGCCUGGUGAAGAUAGCUUGGUCUUGCGAAAUAAUUUCGCAGCCCUCUUGGGUGUCUGCGAAAUUUCGCAGGCACCACUUUUUUCCUGCGAAAUGGCUCCGGAAGCCUCCCGAAGCUUGCUACCGACAUUGGGAGAUAUUUUCCAUUAGAUUUUUGUUGUCUAAAUUCCAAAAUACUCCUUGUAAACCACCAAUUACAUGAUUCCUUAGUUUUUAAGUUAGUAAAAAGACCAAAUAUCUAUGUAAUAAUUAGUUUUAUAUUAGUUUGCUAUAAAUACCUCUCGGGAGCAUGUUCUCAGAGAGGAGUUCCUUCUGUAACCAUUUUGGUAAGCAAGUAAAGUCUUUUCUUUCUACUGCCUUACCUUCUCACUUUGUAUUUUCAUUUUAUUUCUAAGUUAUGAAUUCUCUGAGGAGCUUUCCCCAGAGAAUGAGUAACUAAACCUCCAAUUCCUUGGAGCUAAGGUUGCCGGGGAAGGUUCCAAGUGCAAGAAUGCAAAGCUCUGUGGUUUUAGCUAGUAAUGAAGAGGAAGUGAAAUCCUUUAGUGAUUUCAAUGUUUUUAGUUAACUUAAAACACCUUGGAGUCACCUGGGCCAACACUUGGUAAGGCAAGUGAUUUCCAACCGUGGAAAUGCACUAGUUUACCCCUUGCGAGCCUCUGGUAGGUGACUUCAAGGUAGGAUUUUCUGGAAUUACCAACACUUGGUAAGCUUUUGGACUCCUAGGAGACAUCCAUUAGUUAUCUCUUGCGAGUUUGUGAAGGGGAAUCCAAGGUUAAAGAUCACCUUGAAUGGUAAGUGCUCGUGAGAGGCAUGAACCAUUGCAAGUUGUAUCAGUGAGAGAAUUAAAGUGAAAUCUAAUUGAAGGAGUCUCUGUACAUCACCGGUUAGAGAAUUGACUAUAAGUUGAAUCUCUAAUGCGAGGAAAUGAACCAUCUGACCGGAGCUAUGUCUUUUGCAUGAGGAACCACCCCAGUGAACCUAAAUCUCCAAGGAAUGCUUUUCUUCCUAAAUUAUUCCAAACUUCUGUUAAGUUAGUUAGUUUAAGUCUAAACCUUUACCAAUCAAACUUUGUGUUUUAUUUCUUAAGCUAACCGUGAAAUGAAACAAAACCAAUUCACUUGGAAUUGGUAUCCUUGAUUGCUUGCAAAUCAUUCCCAGUGAACGAUCCUUAGAGCCACUAUACUAUAGUAGCUUUGUAUUUGCUACCCUAGUGUAUGGUGUUAUAGGUAUAAAUUUUGUUGAUCACUUCCUCAAUCAAGGAACACCAGCUGAACACAAAUCAGCUGAGACACCAAUUGGGCAUGAGUCAAAUGGCGCCGUUGCCGGGGAAUGAGUGUCAAGAUCAUUGUGAUACCAUUUUUGAGCACUUGUGAUUUUCAUCACAAGUUGGUAAAGUUUCUUUCACUUUACUAAUUUUCAUUCUCUCUUUGUUUAUUUACAAUCUAAGUUUAUCUUUUUAAAAUUUAGUCUAGUUUAAUUUUGCUAUUGUAGCCUUGUUUCUCUUGUUGUCCUCUGUUCUUGUUGUCCUCUGUUUUCAUUUUAGUUGCAGCUGAAUACUAGUUGUGUAUGCCAAAGUGGAUACGAGACAUUGGAGGUAGGCUUAUUAAGUGUGAUACACCUCAGAGAGGAGAAUUGGAAGUAAUCUUGAAUAUCAUGGAGGCUGCACCUGAAGAUCAGCAUAGUCACCAAGGUCGUCAAGACAAUCUCAAUGAAUUCAGAUCAAUGAGGGACCGUAUGCAUCCACCUCGUAUGAGUGCACCAUCAUGUAUAGUGCCCCCUACAGAGCAACUAGUGAUCAGACCAUAUCUUGUUCCACUUCUACCAACUUUCCAUGGGAUGGAAAGUGAGAAUCCGUAUGCACACAUCAAGGAAUUUGAAGAUGUUUGUAAUACAUUCCAAGAGGGAGGAGCUUCAAUUGAUUUGAUGAGGCUUAAGUUAUUUCCUUUUAAUUUAAAGGAUAAGGCCAAAAUUUGGCUUAAUUCUUUAAGGCCAAGGAGUAUCCGCUCUUGGACUGAUUUACAAGCUGAAUUCCUCAAGAAAUUUUUUCCUACUCAUAGAACAAAUGGCUUGAAAAGGCAAAUUUCAAACUUCUCAGCUAAAGAGAAUGAGAAAUUCUAUGAGUGUUGGGAAAGAUACAUGGAAGCUAUAAAUGCUUGUCCUCACCAUGGCUUUGAUACUUGGCUACUGGUGAGUUAUUUUUAUGAUGGUAUGUCCUCCUCAAUGAAGCAACUCCUCGAGAAAAUGUGUGGAGAAGAUUUCAUGAGCAAAAAUCCAGAGGAAGCUAUGGAUUUCUUGAGCUAUGUAGCUGAUGUUUCAAGGGGAUGGGAUGAACCAACUAAAGGAGAAGUGGGAAAGAUGAAGUCUCAGUUGAAUGCUUACAAUGCAAAGGCUGGGAUGUAUACUUUAAAAGAGGAUGAUGACAUGAAAGCAAAGUUGGCAGCUAUGACAAGAAGAUUGGAGGAGCUGGAGCUGAAAAGAAUGCAUGAAGUGCAAGCUGUUGCUGAAGCACCAGUGCAAGUGAAGUUGUGUCCCAAUUGUCAAUCGUUUGAACAUUUGGUAGAGGAAUGCCCUGCAAUUUCAGCUGAAAGGGAAAUGUAUAGAGAUCAAGCAAAUGUUGUUGGACAAUUCAGGCCCAAUAACAAUGCUCCUUAUGGAAAUACCUACAAUUCAAGUUGGAGGAAUCAUCCAAAUUUUUCAUGGAAGGCCAGAGCAACUCAAUACCAACAGCCGGAUCCACCAUCUCAACAAUCUUCAAGUAUUGAACAAAUAAUAGCUAAUCUCAGCAAGGUAGUGGGAGAUUUUGUGGGAAAGCAAGAAGCCACCAAUGCUCGAGUGGAUCAAAGAAUGGACAGAGUGGAUCAAAGAAUGGACAGAAUGGAGAGUAUGUUGAACAAAAGAAUGGAUGGAAUGCAAAAUGAUAUGAAUCAAAAAUUUGAUAACAUCCAAUAUUCAAUUUCAAGGCUUACAAAUUUGAAUACACUGCAAGAAAAGGGAAGAUUUCCUUCUCAACCUAACCAAAAUCCCAAAGGUGUCCAUGAAGUGGAAAGCCAUGAGGGAGAAUCAUCACAGGUGAAAGAUGUGAAAGCUUUGAUCACUCUAAGGAGUGGUAAGAAAAUUGAGCAGCCAACACCCAAGCCACAUGUUGAGAAAGAAGAAGAGAUGAAGAAAGGGAAGGAAAUGGAAGAUAAAGGCAGUGAGAUCAGUGAAGAAAAGAAGGACUCUGAUGCAACAAUGAAAGUAAUUCCAGAGAAGGAGCUUCUGAAGGAAGAAAUGCUGAAGAAAUCAACUUUUCCACCUUUUCCUCAAGCAUUACAGGGGAAAAAGGGGGUUAGAAAUGCAGCUGAAAUCCUAGAAGUAUUGAGGCAAGUGAAAGUUAAUAUUCCACUGCUGGAUAUGAUCAAACAAGUUCCAACGUAUGCAAAAUUCCUAAAGGACUUGUGUACUAUCAAAAGAGGGUUGACUGUAAACAAGAAAGCCUUCUUGACUGAGCAAGUAAGUGCAAUCUUACAGUGUAAGUCUCCUUUGAAGUACAAAGACCCUGGAAGUCCUACCAUUUCAGUCAUGAUUGGAGGAAAGGUAGUGGAGAAAGCCUUGCUAGACUUGGGAGCAAGUGUGAAUUUGCUUCCAUAUUCUGUCUACAAGCAACUGGGACUUGGAGAGUUGAAGCCAACAGCAAUCACUUUGUCUCUGGCAGAUAGAUCAGUGAAAAUUCCAAGAGGGGUAAUUGAGGAUGUAUUGGUUCAAGUAGAUAAUUUCUACUAUCCUGUAGAUUUUGUUGUUCUUGAUACAGAUCCUACUGUAAAGGAAGCUAAUUUAGUUCCUAUCAUCCUUGGAAGGCCAUUUCUUGCAACUUCAAAUGCAAUCAUCAACUGUAGAAAUGGGCUUAUGCAACUCACUUUUGGUAACAUGACACUGGAUCUAAAUAUUUUCUAUAUGUCUAAAAAGCAAAUCACUCCAGAAGAAGAAGAGGGUCCAGAAGAGCUAUGUAUUAUUGAUACUUUGGUGGAGGAGCACUGCAAUCAACAUAUGCAAGAUAAGUUGAAUGAAAGUUUUGUGGAUAUUGAGGAAGGUUUUUCUGAAUCUCCUAAUGGGCUUGCUACUCUACAAAGUUGGAGAAAGAUAGAAGGAAUUCUACCUUUGUUCAAUGAAGAAGAGGAGGCAGCUGUUGAAAAAGAAAUUCCAAAACUCAAUCUGAAGCCUUUACCUAUGGAGCUGAAAUAUACAUAUCUUGAAGAAAAUAAUCAAUGUCCUGUCGUAAUAUCUUCAUCUCAAACCAAGUCUCAAGUGAAGGAUGCAAGCUUCAAAUGGGAUCCGGGCAAACUGAAUCAGGAAGGGCAAAAAGUUUUGAUGUAUGACACAAGACUCCAUAUCUUUCCUGGGAAGCUCAAGUCAAGGUGGAUUGGUCCAUUUGUUAUUCACCGAGUAUAUUCCAAUGGAGUGGUGGACUUAUUGAAUUCCAAUGGCAAGGACAGCUUUAGAGUCAAUGGAUAUCGUCUUAAGCCGUUCAUGGAGUCAUUCAAAUCAGAAAAGGAGGCAAUCAACCUCCUUGAACCUCAAAAAGCCUAAGUGAAAUGGGUUUGCUGGACGUGGUUUUACCACAGUCCAAAAAUUUUUGUAAAUUUUGUAAAUUUUCAAGUUGUUUCCAUGCUUUUAAUCUUAGUUUUUGAUUUUAAAUCAUGUUUUUAGGUGUGUUUUAAUCGUUUUAUAUGAUCCCAGGCGGAAGAAAUUUCAAGGGGAUUGAAAAGAAAAAAAUCGGGUCGAAAUUGGAGCCGAAACAGAGCAAAAACAGGGGAAAAACAGAGCUCUGCGAAAUUUCGCAGGGUGAAGGAAACUUCUGCGAAAUUGGCAUUUUGCUGCCAAACCAUUCCGCAGCACUGUAGAAGCCUCUGCGAGUGUAUUUCGCAAUUGCGAAAGUGGAUUUGGCACACGAGUGCCACUUCGCAGCACAGUGACAUCAAUUUCGCAGCUGCGAAACUCACUGCGAAGUUGCUGCGAAAAUGGCAAGUUGCUGCGAAAUUGGCGUUUUGUUGCGAAACGUAAUCUGACCCCUGGGCUUCCGUUUUUCCUAUUUAUACCUGUCAAAAGUGCUGCGAAAAAGGUUUCAAAAAUUAGAGCACCAUUCUCGCAGCCCUUUCAUCUUCUUCGCCAAGCCACGCCGUCCGUUUCUCCGGUCGUCUUCUCCGUUUAGCAGCGCCGGCCAAAGAUCGAUAGCCCAAAAAUGGCACGAACGCGAGGGGCAAAGUCUUCAUCCCCUUCGAACCGCAAAAGGAGUCUGCGAAAGGAGCCAAGUUCAGGCUCUGUUCCAGAACCUGCUCCAAAGCCUUCGCCGUCGAGACCACAACCUUCUCCAGUGAAGCCGGCGCCACCAAAGCCGCCGGCAAGGCGAUAUUUAACCAGGUCAGGUGGUCAGCCAUUGAAGAAGAAAGCCAGAGUUGAGAGCUCUGAACCAAUCGAUUUGACUGAGCAAUCCCCUGAGAAAUCACCAAAUCCUUCACCGGUACAAAUUCCAGUGCCAUCACCGGUUCCCUCGCCAAUUCCCUCACCAGAAGCAACUCCAAUUCCAUCGCCGGUACCAUCUCCGGCACCCCAAGAAAAAGCUCAGGAGCCUCAAGCGCCAAUUCCAGAGCCCCAAAUUGCAGCUGAAGCACCUCUGGAAGAAGUGAUCCGAAGGCCAAUGCUGCCUCAGCCCCCAAUCGAAGGAAACCUGGAUUGCCGAACUCGGGCAUUCCAUUCUGAGCUUUGCUUCGAUUUAACAGCAUUCAGAGUGAGGCCAGAGCUUGCCCAAUCCUUCCAACUGCUGAGGAGAUAUCAUAUGGAGCAUCUGCUAGCUCCAAGGGAUUUUUUCUAUCCCCGGGUAGUCACGGAUUUCUACCAAACCAUGACAACCAAAGAAGUAAGAAAUCCAACUCUGAUUCAUUUCAUAAUUGAUGGAAGGCAUGGUAUUUUGGGAGCAAGACAUAUUGCUGAAGCCCUGCAAAUUCCUUUUGAGCCAACUCAAUUCGACAAUUUUAAAGCUUGGACAAAUCCUACUGAGUUAGAGAUGGUUAGCACACUAACCAGAGGAGCUGCAAAUCGAUCGCAUUUGUUGAGGGGGGAGCUACCUCCAGUUAUGUUUUUGAUUGAUGCCUUUUUGAGGCAUAAUAUCUAUCCCCUGCAGCAUUGGACCCAAAGAAGGGGAAUUCUCCUAGAAGCCUUGUACAAAAUGUCUGAAGGAUUCUUCUUUGGGCCUCAUCAUCUGAUCAUGGCAGCCCUUCUAUACUUUGAGGAGAAGGUUCACAAGAAGAAGCUUCAAAGAGCAGAUUGCAUUCCACUCCUCUUCCCAAGGCUGCUAUGCCAAGUUUUGGAGCAUCUCGGAUACCCCUCUGAGCCUCAGCAGGAAAGAAAGAGAAUAUGCCGUGAGCCUUUUACCCUUGAUAAAUGGAAUAAUAUGACGGCCUACAAAAUUGAUCAGCCUGGGCAGCCUCAGCCAGCAGCAAGGAGAGUCUCCCCAAGACAUAUACCUGAAGGUAUAACACUUGCUACUCCUGCCAUCCCUCGAGCUCCACCAGCUGCACCUGCUCCAUCACAGCCAUCCACAUCAGCUGAGCCGAGGAUGGCCAUCCCUAUAUCCGAAUAUCGAGAGCUGUGCCGUGCAUUGGAGACUCUUACAGCUUCUCAGAGCAAUCUUGCUCAGGAGUUGGCAGCCAUUAAAGCAUGCCAGGAGCAGAUGUUAGCCUCUCAGACUCAACAAGCUGCCAUCCUAAGGCAGCUUCAAGUCCAUUUCGAUCUGCCACAAGCUGUAGAGCCCUCUAUUCCUACUCCACCAGAGCCACACUCUCAGCCUUCAGAGUCUCAUCCUCCAGAACCCGAAGCACCAGCUGAUCCACCUACUGAGGAGGCAGAUCCUUCUGCCUAGCACCAUCACCCCCCUCAUCAGACAUUAUAUAUAUAUUUGCUGUUUAUGUUUUUAUGCAUGUUUGUUUUGUUUUAGUUGAAAAGAAAUCCCAGUAUUUUGGUACUAUAUAUGGGAUUCCUUGUGUUACUUGUCUUUAGUAUUGUAAUCACAUGAACUCAAAGUAAUACAAGUUGACUAUUUCUUGUUAAAAGUUAGCAUUAAAGUUUCCUUAUUUCCUUUUCUCACAUAUUCUAUUCUUUUUGAAACAUGUGGUUUUCCCCAAUCAAUAUUCGAAUUUGAUAUCAGCAUGGAGGUACCACUUCCUCCCUUUUAUUACAGUCACUCAAAUCACAUUGAGGACAAUGCUCAGUUCGGUUGGGGGGUAUGAGGAAGGAAGUAUUCUAAACCUUUUUGGUAUUGCAAUUAUAUUGGUUAAUUAGUUGUAGAUUUUACUUUUUACUAGUGUUACUCUAUUCUCCAUGAAUUUUGAGGAAAAAUUUUCAAAUUAAACCAAGAGAAAUUGAACUGUUGUUUUUCACUUGACUUAGAGUAUGGAUUAUGCUUACUAAAGUGGUUCAAUUGUUGAAACUUCUACUGAAAUUGAAUUGAGUUCUUCCACUUUAAGCUAUCCACACACUGUGCACAUUAGUUUCCGAUUAUAAGAUGAAAAGCUAUUUCCCUCUUGACUUAGUAUAUUUUUGGGACUUGGUAUAUUUGACCUCAUUUGAUAAAAAUUGAAACACCCUGCAAAAGGCCAAUGAGCCUUUGAAAUAAAGAAAGUUGUUUGCUUGCCUUGAAACCCGAGCAAGGUCUGAGGGGUAUAUGGUGAAAAUCUUUAAAGCCUGGUGCCCUAAGCCUUAAUUGGUUGGGAGUCACCGACCUCAAUGCUCGUUACAAGGGUGAAUAGGUAGAGUUAGCAUAUGGUAGAUGCUUGGGUAUUAGAAAUUCAUUCUUAAAAGUCCGGGGAAAAAUCCGAGGAGUUAGUGGUUGAAAGAUCCUUAAAACUUGGUGCCCUAAACCUUAAUUGGUUGGGAGUCAUCGAUGGACCCCCAUUACAUGGACAAGUCAGAAAGAGUACCCCAUAAAGCUACCUUAAAAAAAAAAAAAAAAAAAAAAAAAAAAAAAAAGAUGAAAGUGUGUUCUUUUCUUAUUGAUUUUGGUCAGUUUGCUAAAGUGUUGAAAAGAGAUAGGUUGGGGGGUGAGAUUAGUAGCAUAUUAUUCUCGGAACCUAAGGAACCAAUACACAUAGAUUUUUGUGGAAGAUUGAAGUUUAGUUCUUAGAAAAUGAAAUGAUUUUAAAACUUCAGUUUGCAUAAUGCACUCCCUUGAUUGACAGUGUUUAGCAUAGGUGUUAUGACUCUUGUUGAGAUUUGGGUUUGUAUUUCUUUAAUGAUUCAUGUGAGAAAUAGAUCAUCAUGCCACUUGAGAAUUAUUUUCCUUUUAGCAUGAUGUUGUAAAUUUUAGAUUAGUUUGCUAUUUAUUUUUUAUUUUCUCUCCUAUAUUGCUAAGGGACUAGCAAUAUGUCGGUUGGGGGGAGUGAUUACUACUCAAAAAGUGCUAUUUGAUAGCCUUUAAUUAAUCCUUUUUAACACUUUUGAGUAGUAGUUUAGGCCUUUUAACUCAAUUGGCAUGUUAAGGAUCCUUUAAAGCAAUUUUGAUCACUUUGUGCAAGUUUUGGUGUUUUUGUUAGUAUUUUGAUCACCAAAGCAAGUCAAGAAUGAGGAGAACUAUGAGGAAUCAUGGGCAAAGCUUAGAAUUCAAUUGCCAAGAGUGAAUCCGGAUUGCAAGGAGAAAAAGCAAAGAGAAUCUGUCAUGAAGCCUAUUCUUGAUGACAGUCGUAGCAGCCACUUUUGGAGCACUUUCUGAAGUCCAAAUGAUGCAAGCUAUAUACCAUUUCAAAGCUCAGGAAGUCAACAAUCCAAUGCUUCAAACGGUGCGCGAUUCGGAGUUGAAACGAAGAAGUUGCAGCCAUUACAAGCCAGUCACUCUAAAGUGUUGCGGAAUCAGCCUUUUGUUGCGAGAAUUUCGCAGCACUUUUGUACAGUAAGGUGUUUCUCCUUCUGACGAUGCACGAACCAUGCCGCGAGAGGGAAGCUAGGAACUUCAAGAUGGAAGCCAACUUUGCAGCCUGGUGAAGAUAGCUUGGUCUUGCGAAAUAAUUUCGCAGCCCUCUUGGGUGUCUGCGAAAUUUCGCAGGCACCACUUUUUUCCUGCGAAAUGGCUCCGGAAGCCUCCCGAAGCUUGCUACCGACAUUGGGAGAUAUUUUCCAUUAGAUUUUUGUUGUCUAAAUUCCAAAAUACUCCUUGUAAACCACCAAUUACAUGAUUCCUUAGUUUUUAAGUUAGUAAAAAGACCAAAUAUCUAUGUAAUAAUUAGUUUUAUAUUAGUUUGCUAUAAAUACCUCUCGGGAGCAUGUUCUCAGAGAGGAGUUCCUUCUGUAACCAUUUUGGUAAGCAAGUAAAGUCUUUUCUUUCUACUGCCUUACCUUCUCACUUUGUAUUUUCAUUUUAUUUCUAAGUUAUGAAUUCUCUGAGGAGCUUUCCCCAGAGAAUGAGUAACUAAACCUCCAAUUCCUUGGAGCUAAGGUUGCCGGGGAAGGUUCCAAGUGCAAGAAUGCAAAGCUCUGUGGUUUUAGCUAGUAAUGAAGAGGAAGUGAAAUCCUUUAGUGAUUUCAAUGUUUUUAGUUAACUUAAAACACCUUGGAGUCACCUGGGCCAACACUUGGUAAGGCAAGUGAUUUCCAACCGUGGAAAUGCACUAGUUUACCCCUUGCGAGCCUCUGGUAGGUGACUUCAAGGUAGGAUUUUCUGGAAUUACCAACACUUGGUAAGCUUUUGGACUCCUAGGAGACAUCCAUUAGUUAUCUCUUGCGAGUUUGUGAAGGGGAAUCCAAGGUUAAAGAUCACCUUGAAUGGUAAGUGCUCGUGAGAGGCAUGAACCAUUGCAAGUUGUAUCAGUGAGAGAAUUAAAGUGAAAUCUAAUUGAAGGAGUCUCUGUACAUCACCGGUUAGAGAAUUGACUAUAAGUUGAAUCUCUAAUGCGAGGAAAUGAACCAUCUGACCGGAGCUAUGUCUUUUGCAUGAGGAACCACCCCAGUGAACCUAAAUCUCCAAGGAAUGCUUUUCUUCCUAAAUUAUUCCAAACUUCUGUUAAGUUAGUUAGUUUAAGUCUAAACCUUUACCAAUCAAACUUUGUGUUUUAUUCCUUAAGCUAACCGUGAAAUGAAACAAAACCAAUUCACUUGGAAUUGGUAUCCUUGAUUGCUUGCAAAUCAUUCCCAGUGAACGAUCCUUAGAGCCACUAUACUAUAGUAGCUUUGUAUUUGCUACCCUAGUGUAUGGUGUUAUAGGUAUAAAUUUUGUUGAUCACUUCCUCAAUCAAGGAACACCAGCUGAACACAAAUCAGCUGAGACACCAAUUGGGCAUGAGUCAGUGCGUUAGAGGAUCAAGAAGAAGAAAAAGAAGGAACUGUUGGAAUUAGUAUGAGUGUGAAGAGAAAAGUAUAUAAAUAAGGGGAAGUAAAAGCAAAGUUCAAAAAGCUAUAUUUUUUUAUUGUUGGUGUAUGGUUGCAUGAUUAUCCCUAUAAAUAAUAGGAGUUUUUUGGUAUUCUACUAGUAGUUGAAGCAUAAUUUCAUAAAUUAAUAUUUAGAGCGGGGUGGGGUGAGUUGUGACAAAAUUCAUACCCGUCCCAAACCUUGGUUCAGAUUUUUAAAAUAUUCUCAAACUUAUCAUAUACCCAACUUUUAUAUUUCAUACUUGUCCUAAUAGAGGCACGUUAGGCCGGGUUACUUGAGUAACCUACAUAAUUGUCAUCCCUAGUUGAAAUACACUUUUUGGCAGUGGCCACCAACUGAGCUAGAAGCUUGAUUGAUUGACCUACAAGAUUAGUUCUCAUCAUUUUAAAAAAAGUUCUGGCUUUGGUUGUGAGUGCAAUUGAAUCUAAACUGGCAUUUGCUUAAUGCAUCUACUUCAAUCCUAAACUUCUUACUUCUUAAGCCUCAAUUGUUGUUAGGAUUUUGGAAAACCCAUUUCCUUAAAUUGUAAAUUUAAGAUAAAAUAAAAUAAAAGUGAGACAUUUCUUGAUUGAAUAUUGUUAAAGGUCCCUUGGCAUUAAGACUUGGUUGAAGCCUUGGAAGAUUAGUGGAACUCUCAACAUGUGUUUGAAUCUUGAGGAGAGUGGAUGUAAGCCAAAAUUUUGUCAAACCAUUAUACAAAUUGAGUUUGAAUCCUCAUUUCUUGAUUUCUUAUUUAUUUGCUUUUUCUUAUUAUUACUUGAAUUGUCAUUUGCAUUCAUUAAUGUUAAAAUUGGUUAUAAUUAACCAACACUAAUUCUCUUUCCCCUUCCCUUUCUUGGGUGUAAACCUAGGUUGGAUUAACUAGAUAAAUCUAUUAAGAUGGUAAAAGAAUAAUUAUUCUUAACAUACAUAAGAUCAUCUUCAAUCAAAUGACUCAUUGGCUAAUAUGUUGAAUUUGCUUAUUACUUGCAACUCAAAAUUGUGUUCUAGUUGUGUCAAGUCCCCAGUGUAUGGACAUUAAAUUUGUAGUACGUGAUGAGUAAUUAGAUGGUCCAACUCCAAGAAAGUGAUUGAAAAGUAGUUCAAGAAAGGUGCAAAAGGGAAUUGUUUUGGUAUUUUCGUUUUUAUUCUUGAAGGUGGCAGAGCUAAAAUUUGAGAAAUCAAGCAAAACAUACUGAAAUUACAUUGAAAGAAAGAAGAUGGGAGUUAAUGUCUUGCAGUACAUGAUAAGGACUUCAUGCAUGUAGUGUGACCCAUGUCUUGGACUGAUGCCAACUCACGGUUACACUUAUACCCUUGGUUCUCUCUUUACUACCUUGGCUAACCUAGAUCAGGCUAUGAGAUAGGCUCCUCACCACACCAUUACUUGCCCAUUAAUUAGAGACAUUUUCAAGCAAUGAGGUAACAUGGUGACACCAAGAGGGUCUAUUCCUCGCCCGGAACAAGUCUAGACUUGGUCUCAAAAAAAUGGAGAAAAAUGAGGUGUCGUUAUGUAGAAAUACAACAACCAUGCCUUCCUCAUUACUUAGAUUCAGAAUGUGAAGGUGAAAUUGAGAAACAGAAACUCUUGAAACCAAAAUGAAAAUUGAUACUUUUACGAAGAAUUACAACAACAUUAGAGGAAGACUACAUUCUUCCUCUUUAUUCCUACAUUUCUACACUACUUCUACUCCACUCCAUAUUUCUACAUACAUCUUUAAUCAGUCUUCCCUCCUUUAUAUAGAGCCAUCUUCACACAAAUUUCGCAAGGUAGAAAAGAGGAAUGAAACUUGGAGCAAGGUUCGACUACUGGUUGUAGCUUGUCAAGGCUGGAAGUGAACUUUUCUUGGCUUUCUGGGCAUGGGUAGUAACUUGUGGGUUCCUGUUUGGCAUAAAAAUGGCUAGAACAUGUGGCACUAUCUUGUUGGAUGAUGUGUCAAGCAUGUGGCAGCCAUCUAGUGGCGAUUAUGUCAAUUUUGGGAUGGAGAGUUGGCAUCCAAUUGCAAAGAAAUAUGACGUCUACCAACAUGCAAUGUAAACCUAUGUAGAUCAUAUGAAGAUAGAGAGGAAAAAUAUAGAAAUGGAUAUAUACCUAGAACUAGCUUUUUAUUAAAUGAAACGGAGAGACAACAAUGAAGGAAAAUAAAAUUUUUUGGCUUAUAUCAAAGAGUUCACAUUGUGUUACCCUAGGUUUUCUUAAAACUUACUUUUAUGAUAACAAAAAAGAAAAAACCAUUAUUGUUUAAUCCUUUGUUUUAAACGCAUGUAAGGUGUAAUUAAGUUAGUUCAAUGCAUUAAUUUAAGAAACUUGACCUAUCAAAAGUACAAAAUUAGAUGAAAUCCAUUUCAAUGGUUAAAAUGAUCAAAAUCAAACUUUUUCUAAGUAUUUUUUAAAAGCAUCAAUAGUGAAAGACAAUUUUAUAUUUAGUCGGAGUUUGGACAAAACUGAAAAACACACAAAAUCCAAGCGACCAUCUCUAGCUUGGAUGGUCGCUUGAUCCCACCUAGAGAUGUGCAUGAGUAAAAGGAUUUGAAAAUGGAAAUUGACUAUGUAGUCGAUCAAUUAACUUUGCAACAUCAUAUGCAAUCCUAAUUGCUAGUCAUCUAAUCAAUUAGGUAGUCAAUCAACAGGCCAAAAAUAUGUUUAUAAUGACUAUUUUGUACAAAAACCACCUGUAUAGUUAAAUAUAAUGCAUUUCAUUUAUAAAUCUUCUAAUUCUUGAAUAACGAUCCUAUCAUCCUUUGAAAGUUUUUAUUACACUUUUUUUACUUUUGUUCUAAAACUUACACAUCACCCUUAAUUGUACCAUGAGAACCUAGCUAUUUUUUAUUUUUUUUUUUGUAAUUCAUCAAAGUUAGCUUUUGUAUUCAUUGUUGUAUUAUUUUUAGUAUAACUUAGAAAGCUAGUGUUUUCAAGUGAGUAAAAUUAACUUGUAAAUAUUGUAAAGAUUCAUCGACAUGUAUCUUAAACUAAGUGUACAAGUUAAAACAUUUGCUAGUAGAUUUUCUCAAAAUUUAGAAUAGAGCUUGAGACUAUUGAAAUAGGUGGGGUUGCACCAAACCACAUCACAUCGUUGUUUGCACCUUUUUUCACUCUCUUUUACUUAGUUGCUCUAUAUUUGUUGUCUAGUAAUAUCCUAUAGGCUUGAUGGGUUAGGGAGCAUCCCUUUGUGAAAAAAUUUUAUUCAAUCCUUAGUUGUAUCACGCAUAUAUAAAAUGCCUCAUUGUUUUAAUGGUAUUCAGUCGUGGCAUCACAGAUAUGGGCAUCUAAAUUUUAAAAGUUUGAAACUUUUAUCUAAAGAAAAUAUGGUGCUUUGCCUUUUUGUAAAGCAUGUUGAUGAAAUCCAUGAGAAUUGUGUACUUGGGAAGCAACACCGAGAUGACUUUUUUUUUUUUUUUAUAAUAUUGUUUGUCCAAAUUCCCUACAAAUUAGGCCACCAGAUGUUCAUAAUUCUCCCUUCUUGAAUUUGAAAACUCGGACAAUUGGACAAUGCGACACCUAAGUCCGGUUUCUAAAUGCUAAAGUGAAAGGGUAGGUAUGGACCAUUGAAAUGUGAUCACAACUUUUCUCUGUAGCCAUGUUGUCUCUUUUUUCUUUUGCAUGAUUUUCUUACCUUAACAGAAUCAUAGACUUGUUUAGUCUCUAAAUGGGAUUAAUUUCAUCCAGCUUUAAGCUACUAUAUUAUAUCUAGGUGGAGGACUUUUAAGAGUGCAACCGACAUAGAGCACAUGGAAGUGGGUAUAUGGGACAUGAAAUUUCUUCUUAUAAAGAUUGCAUGAUUUUUAUAUUAGAGUUGUUGAGGCGCUAUGUAUUUAGCUUGUUUUGCAGUUAAAUUAAUUGGAUAAGUAGACAUUGGCGUUUCUAAAUCUACUGUGAAGUGCUUCAUGUACGUGUGAAGUAUUAGAAAUUUCUUUCUUGGCAACUUGUUUUUCUUUGCGGUCUACUGAUAGGUUUGACUAAAAUUAUAUUCCCUGUCAUGCUAAUUAAUUUUCACGUGCAUGCUCAAAAGAAAAGUAUGACCUUAGUGCACCAAAAUCACUUUGAUUAAUUUGUGAUAGGUUUUUGUGCAUCAUGACAUUAGCCUUAUUCAUUUAGAUAAUGUUUAGUUUUUAGAAAGUAUUAAGAAAAGGAAAAUAAAUAUUAAGAAAAAUAUUCUUAUAUUUGAUUGUAUUAUGAAAAAUAUCAUAAAAAAAUCAAAUAUAAUUUAAAUUAAUUAAUAAUUUAUACAUUUUCAAAUUAUUUAAUCUUUAUAUUGAAGAUAUAAUAUAAAUGAAAUGAGUUUUAAGUAUUAUAUAAAAGUGAUUUAUUGAUCUUACAUAUAUAUAUUUCUUUUUUUUUUCCUUCUAUUUUUUCUCUUUAUUUUAUUUUCCUUAUGUUUUCCUCAACAUUUUCCGGAACCAAACAUAGCCUUAGGAAAUCCACAAUUACCUUCAACUGAGUAGAUUCUGUUGUUUUAGCAAUGUUAGGCUGCUAACUUGUGUUGGUACGAACCUAUUAAGCCUAAAGAUGUAAUUAGUUAGGAUAUUCUUUUCCCUCUAGUCUUGUAGCUCCACGUGUACAGUUGGUUAGGACCUCAUUGUAUAUAAUGCUUGCCCUGUUAUUGUAGAAGACAACAAAGAUAAAUAAUAUUAACAUUUUUCCUCUCAUCUCUCUCUGUUUCCCUCUGUUUUCAUCUCCUCUCUCAUCUUGGUAUCAGAGCCUCCAUGGCUUCUUUCAAAGAAACCUCCGAAUCACCUUCUGCUAGCAUUGUUAAUGUGCAAAACCCAUUAUCUCAAUCAAACAACCUUCCUUCACCAGUAGCCACACCCUCUUUUUCUUUCUCGUCUAUGAAUCAACCUCUCACAGUGAAGCUGGAUAAUGGGAACUACCUCAUAUGGAAGAAUUAGCUUCUAAAUGUCAUCAUUGCUAACGGACUCGAUGAUUUCAUUGACGGAUCUCGACCCUGCCCUCCUCGAUUUCUCGAUCUGCAACAACAAACCCUCAAUCCAGAGUACUCAGCUUGGCAGAGAUACAAUCGACUUCUGAUGAGUUGGCUGUACGCAUCCUUGUCCAAAGAUAUAAUGGCUCAGAUUGUUGGGUAUUCAACAGCUAUGGAGAUUUGGAAUGCCCUUAAUCAGAUUUACUCUGCCUCUUCUAUGGCGCGGUUUACUGAGCUUCGCACCAAGCUUCAAACGCUCAAGAAAGAUGGACUCUCAGUUGGUGAAUAUAUUCAAAGGCUCAAAUCCAUUUGCAAUAGUCUUGCAGCAAUAGGAGAACCAGUUUCUGAGAAAGACCAUCUUAUCUAUUUGUUCAAUGGAUUAGAUUGUGAGUAUUAUUCUUUUGUUACCUCCAUUCAAAAUCGAUCUGACCAACCAACUAUUGACAAAAUCCAUAGCCUAUUGCUUAGCUAUGACUUCCGGCUUGAACAACAAAACUCUGUUUCUCUCCAUUCUGCCCAAGUCCAUAUGGCUCAUCUGAACAAGAAACCUUAUAAAUCAACUCCUCAACCUACAUUCAAUCAUAUUCACAUUCAACCUAGAUACUCUUCUCCACCUUUUAAGCCAACCACUAGUCAAUAUCAACCCAACAUUUUGGGCAAACCACAACCACAACCAUGACAGCCUCAACCUCAAUGGAAACCACAUUUUUCAAUCUAAAAUCAAAAGCCUCAGCGCCAAAUUUGUGGUAAAUUUGGACACACUGCUCUUAUUUGCUUCCAUCACACAAAUUUGAACUAUUCACCCCAACCUUCUCCUAAAUCUUUCAAUACUGUUCUCACCACAAAUUCCCAGCUCCCUAAUCCUCCAAAAUUUUCUUACCCUACAAUGGCUCAUCCUGCUGCUACGCAUAACACGGUUCCCGAUACAAAUUGGUACAUGGACUCAGGUGCUACACAUCACUUUACUCUGGACAUCAACGUGCUUGACACUGUGACACCAUUUAGUGGUUCAGAACAGGUGACAGUUGGGAAUGGUAAGCAACUCUGUAUCUCACAUCUUGGUACUGCAAAACUACCAUCUUCGUAUUCUCCUCCUGUUCUACAUCAGGUAUAUCACACUCCAAAAAUUUCAAAUAAUCUUAUUAGUGUUAAAAAAUUGUGUUCUGAUAAUAAAGUUUUUGUUGAAUUUUAUGCCACUCAUUUUCUUGUCAAGGAUCAGGUUUCGAAGAGAGUUCUCCUUUAGGGUCAACUUGAUAAUGGCUUAUACAAAGUUCAGUCGUCAUGCUCUCCUUCUGCUGUUUCCUUUCCUCCUCAAGUUUUCAUAGCCAACAUCAAGUAUCCAAAUCUGUGGCACAAGAGACUAGGCCACCCAGCUUUAUCUGUUGUUAAUCAAAUCUUGGAUUCUUGUAACAUUGCUCGAACACAGAAAAUUUGUUUUAAUUUUUUAAAUUCUUGUCAAUUAGCAAAGAGCCACAGGCUUCCUUUUUCUCUGUCUCCAUCCAUUGCAGAAAAACCUUUUGAGUUAAUUCAUACAGACCUAUGGGGUCUUUCGCUCGUUCGCUCUAUUUCUGGUGCUCUUUAUUUUUUACUUUUCAUUGAUGAUCAUACUCGUUUUACUUGGUUUUAUUUGCUCAAAACAAAAGAUGAAGCAUAUCCUACUUUUCUCAAGUUUCAAGCUCUCAUUGAAAAUCAAUUUAAUACCAAGAUUAAGGCUGUCCAAUCUGAUUGGGGAGGUGAGUUUCGAUCUCUCUCCAUACCGUUUUCAAAUAUGGGCAUUGUCUAUUGUUUAUCGUGUCCAUACACCUCACAACAGAAUGGGCGAGUUGAGCGAAAAAAUCGCCAUGCGAUUGUCCUUUCUUGCUUGCUCUAUGCCCUUAUCUUAUUGGCCUUAUGCCUUUCAAACUGCCACUUACCUUAUUAAUCGUCUCUCUACCCCUGUGCUGCAUCAUCAAUCCUCUUACUUCGCACUCUAUCACAAACUCCCAACUUAUACUCAUCUUAAGGUCUUUGGUUCCUCUUGUUUUCCGUAUUUGCACCCUUAUAAUACCCAUAAACUCCAAUACAGGUCACUAGAGUGUGCUUUUCUUGGUUACAGUUCACACCACAAAGGUUAUCUAUGUCUUGACAUUCAUUCUAGCAGGGUGUAUAUUUCUCGCCAUGUGAUUUUUAAUGAAGAUUCUUUUCCAUUCAAGAAUUUGAAAUCUUCUCUCUCUCAGUCUAUUUCUUCUUCCUCUUCUUUAUAAGUUCCUCUGUUCAUUCUCUUGCCUCCCCUUUCCCCAUCUCCUCUUAUUUCUUCAUCUAUACCUCAUUCUUUUCCCUCUUCUUCUUCUACCUCUAGUACUUGUUCCCCUCUCGUUGCUCCUACCUCUCUUCCUUCCUCUUCACACUCUGUGUCUCCAUCUAUUCCACCUCCUUCUCCACCUUCUCCGAGUGUGGACCUGCUUGCACCUUGUGUGAAUACAAAUUUACAUACUUCUUCUCGCACUCACAAUAUUCAUCCUAUGGUGACUAGAUCUAAGGUUUGUAUCUAUAAACCUAAGUUGUUGUUGAGUGUCUCCAUAGGUUCUCUCACUAAGCCUACUUCCUUUCUUCAAGCUAUUAAAGAUCCUUCAUGGAAGCAAUCCAUGGAAUUCGAGUUUGCUACCCUUCAACACAACAAGACCUGGCAUUUGGUUCCUUCACCUUCCUCAGGCGAAGUAAUCGGUUGUAAAUGGGUCUAUAAGCUAAAGCUUCAGCCUGAUGGCUAAAUUGAGAGAUACAGCCUGCUUAGUAGCUAAGGGUAUCAUCAAAUUGAAGUAUGGACUACUUCGAAACAUUCAGCCUGAUNNNNNNNNNNNNNNNNNNNNNNNNNNNNNNNNNNNNNNNNNNNNNNNNNNNNNNNNNNNNNNNNNNNNNNNNNNNNNNNNNNNNNNNNNNNNNNNNNNNNAGCUUCAGCCUGAUGGCUAAAUUGAGAGAUACAAGGCCUGCUUAGUAGCUAAGGGUUAUCAUCAAAUUGAAGGUAUUGACUACUUCGAAACAUUCAGCCUGAUUGUCAAGCUUUCUACUAUCUGUAUUGUGCUCAGUCUUACUUUUUCCCAGAAUUGGUGUAUUAGACAGCUGGAUGUUCAUAAUGCCUUCUUACAUGGUGACUUAGCUAAAGACGUUUUCAUGGAACAACUGCCUGGAUUUGUUGAUCCUCUCUAUCCUACUCAUGUCUGCAAGUUGGAUAAGUCUCUCUACUGUCUUAAAUAGUCACCUCGGGCUUGGUAUACUAAGCUGAGUACUUCUCGCUACACUUGGGAUUUGUUACUUCUAAGAAUGACUCUUCCUUAUUUAUUUGUCAUUCGUCUCAUGGGUUACUUCUUGUUCUUGUCUAUGUGGAUGAUAUAAUCGUCAUUGGGAGCCACUCUCCUCAGGUUACUCACCUUAUCCAACAGUUGCAUCAUUAGCUUUCUUUAAAGGAUCUUGGUCCUUUACAUUAUUUUCUGGGCUUGGAGGUUCAUCACACCCCUACUGGUAUUCACCUCAGCCAAGCAAAGUAUAUCACUGAUCUCCUUACCCGGGCGGCUAUGUUGGAUGCCAAGCCAUGUCCCACUCCUAUGUCCUCCAACACAUAUCUCUCUUUUCAUGAUGGAGUGGCUCUUGAAAAUGGUUCAGAUUAUCGAAGUUUUGUUGGUGCCCUUUAGUAUUGUACCAUGACACGCCCAGAUAUAGCUUUUGCAAUAAAUAAAGUGUGUCAAUUCAUGCACCAUCCCUCUAAUGUUCACUGGCAGGCUAUAAAACGUAUUCUCCGGUACUUAAAGGGCACAUCUCAUUUUGGUCUCUUCCUACAGCCUUCCUAUGACUUCAACAUCACUUGCUAUACAAAUGCCGACUGGGCUUCCUGUCCUGAUGACAAGUGUAGCACCAGUGGCUACUGCCUCUUUCUUGCCUCUAAUCUGGUUUCUUGGUCAUCUUCCAAACAAAAAGUGGUCUCCCGCUCCAGCGCCGAAUCAGAGUACCGAGGGGUAGCAAAUGGGGCUGCUGAAAUUGCUUGGACUGAAUCUCUUCUUUGUGAACUUUCCAUUACUCCCCCUCCCCUCAUUCUCUGUGACAAUAUCAGUGCCACGUACUUAGCUGCCAAUCCUAUUUUGCAUGCCCGCACCAAACAUGUGGAAAUCGACUAUCACUUUGUCACGGAACGUGUUCUUCAAUGCUCUCUUUUUGUCCAGUUUACACCUUCUGAUGAUCAACUUGCUGAUUGCAUGACCAAGCCUCUCUCCACCCAACGUUUCAUCACUCUACGCUCCAAGCUCACUGUUCUCACUAGACCAAUGAGCUUGAGGGGGGAUGUUAAGCCUAAAGAUGUAAUUAGUUAGGAUAUUCUUUUCCCUCUAGUCUUGUAGCUCCACGUGUACAGUUGGUUAGGACCUCAUUGUAUAUAAUGCCUGCCCUGUUAUUGUAGAAGACAACAGAGAUAAAUAAUAUUAACAUUUUUCCUCUCAUCUCUCUCUCUGUUUCCCUCUGUUUUCAUCUCCUCUCUCAUCUGAACCAAAUGAUCCAUGUUAACCUUGGCUUGGUUUGAUUUGGCUCUAUCUUAGAGAGCUCAAGGAUCACGUCAACUCUGGUUUCUACUAUUCAGGUCCAUUCCCAUAUGAACUGGUUCAAAUUUGAGAAAAUGGUAACAGACCUUUAGUGAUGUUGGUUUGGAGCCAGUUGCCAAACCCGCCCUGAGCUUUACCACUAAUGUCAAGGGAGAAAGCCAUUUGAACAAAAACAAUAGCUUCAAGGGACUGAAUCGUGGAUGAAAUCUGAUCCACAUUUCUUCUCAUUUUGGAAACAAAUGAGAACUUAACUAAGAAGAUUCUACGGCCUCAUAGUGCUUUUCCUGAUCUAAGGUUGGUUCGUUUCCCAAACUGUGAGAUGCACGUGCCAGACUUCAGAACUCUCACGCUCAGGAGUGUAUCCACGUGGUGGACAUAAGAUGGUGGCUUAAGAUCUGGUGUCGGUGGCUUUACUUUACUAGGAGAGUAGUGUGUCUUCAUCUCAUUCACUGCCGGAGGGUGGCGUAAGCAGUGACGCUAAGGUGGGGCACAGUCAAUAUCAUUUGCAUUUGACCAUUAUAGUUUUCUCCCGGCUUUAAAGUAACCUUAUCGUGAUAAAGGAUUACUAGCACUAGUUCAGAUGAUAGUCAUGUUAAAUUCGGACCAUGUUUGUGUCACAUUAUCAGCAACCAUGUGUUUAUGGUUCAUGCUUUCUGCAACUAAAAUUGAUAUAUAACCAGGUGAACUUCAAUCUAAAUUCUGAAAGUACUCAUGUGAUAGAUGGUGCCCGUCUGCAGAGUCCAUCAAUUGAAAAAUGGAGUGAGUGUAUCUAUAAGAGGGAAGGCUUGGAAAAUGUUCAGUUUUCUGGGAAUUCAACAAGGAUCUAAAAUAGAUUGUUUUCUUUGCUGAUUUCAAUGGUUGAAAUUUGAGAAGAUUGUGUCCACAUAACACAACUAUUACUGGUCCUUCUGUUGCAAUUUAUCCUCUAAAGCUCUAGCAUGUCUUCCAAUUCCCACUUCCCUGUUACUCCAGGAAAGCUAUUUCUGUCAUUGUGAAGAAGAAAAGAGAAUGUACAUAUCGAUGCUUUUAAGUGACUGGAGCAUUUAUAUCAGGUGGUCUGCAGCCAUAUAUGCCACUUUGUGAAGAUUGGAACAGUCAAUCACUAGGCUAUAUAUUAGUGUGGCCCAGCCACUUUAAUCAAGGACAAGUCUUCAUACUUAAAGUCAAAUUCUGCCUUUAGUCUCAUUAUAAAUUUCUGUUUAAAUAUUAAGCAAACAUUUGUUUAAUGCGAUUAAGACAGUACUAACUCAAUACCUGUUCUAUUUUUGGAUGCAAAUGCUUGAUGGUUUCAUCAUUGGAUGGGAUAAAGGUGCAUUCAUGAUUAGGAAUACUAGUAGUUAUAUUUUAAUUCUCUUUUUUCUCAAUGAGACUUGUUGGCACAAUUUUGCUGUUGAGAAACCUACCUCUCCAUGGAAAAUAAGUUGUGAUUGAUAGUACUGGAUAUAUUCAAGAAAUCUAAAUAUAGAUAGCACAAAAUAUUAUCGACAUAAAUAGCAUUAACAGCGUACGUAUGUCUCAGUGCUCAUCAGCUAUAAGCAUGGGGCAAACACUUACUAUGAGCAACUUACGUCAAAAUUCCAGAAUAGGACAUAGAAGUGACAGAUAUAGAACAUUGCAUAUGAGUCACAAGAAAGGAAAUUACGGGUGCAUAGCAGCUCUUAUUUUACAUACUACUACUCAUACUGAUCAAAGUCACUCAGUUGGGAUGGGUGGGAGUAGGAGGUUUGUGGGGUGGCUUGUGCGGAGGAGUUGGCAGCUUCUUUCCAGGACCUGGUUGCUUCUCUGCUGGAGUUGAAGGAGGCUUAAUCUUCCGAGGUGGCUUGUAUGAGUCUUCAGCAUUCUCAGCUGGAGGGUGACCAGGGUUGUGACCAUAAUGUGGUGGCUUCUCUCCCUUAGGUGGUUUGCCAACUGGGGUUGGUGGCUUGUAUGAGUCUUCAGCAUUCUCAGCAGGAGGGUGACCAGGGUUGUGACCAUAAUGUGGUGGCUUCUCUCCCUUAGGUGGUUUGCCAACUGGGGUUGGUGGCUUGUGUUCUGGGAGUGGCUUCUCCCCCUUGGGAGGUUUUUCCAAUGGGGUUGGUUUGUGUUCAGGAGGUGGCUUCUCCACUGGAGGCUUGUGUUCAGGAGGUGGCUUCUCCACCGGAGGCUUGUGUUCAGGUGGUGGCUUCUCCACCGGAGGCUUAUGCUCUGGUGGUGGCUUCUCGAAUGGGGGAUGCUUAGGAUAAUCAGCAAGUGAGGGGGCGGUGAGAACCACCAGGCCAAGCAACACCACUAGCAAAUAUGUAGGAGACAUCUUUGGGUUUGGGCUCAGAUGGUGCAAAACUAGGAGAAUUGGCUAGCCUUUUAUAGCGGAUCGUACCCAAUAAUGAAAUGACACGUGUCAUUAUGACCCAUGUGUAAUGGGGUCGAUUUGGGUCCUACAGUGUUGAAAACUUCGACAUCCACUUUUGGCCUUUUGCUUUCUCUACAGCCGCCUUGCUUUUUCCCUCUUUCCUUUUGUUUUCCUCCUGCCCCAUUCUAUCAACUAAACACAAUUAUGUAGUUGUUUAAUUCUUAAAUGAGAUAUUAUCCGUCAAUCGUAUUAUAUUUUAUCAAGAGAGAACGGAGUGCAAUGUGGCUGUAAUUUUAUCGUUUAGUUUUAUCUCUUGGACCACUGCAUUUUUGUUAAGAGGUGCAAUAAUACACGUCUUUAUCUGCCAUUCAAUAUUUACAGUAAAGAGAGGGCACAAAACUCUUCACUUCGCACCAUAAUUAUUUUGUUUUCUGGACACCCCGGGGCCCUUUGGUUGGUUUGGGGGUCAGAAAGUGAACAUCAUAGGGGGUUUUUCCCUUAUGUGCAUUUGUAUCUGAUGGCUUUAACUCGCCUUGUUACUACAAAGAAACUGUCACAGAUAGGAACUUAUUCCAGGCUGAGUAUCUCCUCAUAGACCCUAUAAAAGAAGACAAGUCAUAAUGAACAUCUAACCUUUGUUCAAUUUGAUUCAAUGCCCCCAUUGUGUCCAUCUCACAAAUCUGAAUUAUUAUAUCCAUUGAAUACAUAAAUUAAUGAAGAAAAUAUGAAACCCAAGAUACAUCUCUGCACAACCUCAACCCUGGUUGCUAUGUUUCCCUUCUAUUCACAUGAUUUGAUGCUAAUUGCCAAACUUGCAACAAGCCCUGAGUUUGACACCUAGUAUCGAUGGGCGAAUUUAAAGUCUCCUCCAAACAUAUAUUCCACAGCUUGAAGCUCACAGAAGAUGUUACAGGCAGGGAAAAACCUUCAGAGUUCGCUACCAAAGAUAAUUAUUAAGGAGAUAUCACAAAGAGAAUUCCAAGGGGUCUGAAUCAAAGACAAAUUGGUCGUUCGUGGGGGUUCUUACUUUCUUUUGGGUAUAACUCACUGAGGGCACUGUCUUUGUUAUUUGCAUUUCACAUUUAGAGUUCUGUUCUGGAAACAUAUAAAAGGAGCAUCAUUUUGUUCUUGGGUAACCCAUAGUCGUGAGUGGGUCCAUUUGCAUGCUACUUAGUUGAAAAGUUGGACCAUUUGCUCCGACGCCUACCUCCCGGAUUCCAUGCUCGGAUAAAACAAGAAUAAAAAAAAUAUUUAUAAUUUACAAAUGGGGGAAAGAAAAAAAUGUCAACAACAAACCAGGAAAAAAGAGUAGUAAAAUUCAUGUCACAUGCUAGUGAGAGAAGGGGUUGUUACACUCACUCGAAGUUCUUUCCAAAAUAUCGCAUGGUAUUUUAUUUUAUGUGUCAGCGCAGUUGUGAAUGGAACGUGCAAAAGUCCAAAUUGGCGUUUUUCCUUUUCCCGUGUAGGAUGGCGACCUUUAAUAAAUAUUUAAAACAAAAAACGAAAAAAAGGAGGGAAAAGGGAUCAGAAAAGAUAAAACAAUGUGUACAAGAGCUCAAUUAGUUUGCAAAUUACUGUUUGGAUUUUGAUAGUAUUUUAUUUGUCCAUCUAUAUUUGAUGGAAAAGAGAAUUUAAGAUAUUUCUGAAACAAAAGCAUUAGUGUAAAACUAAAUUAAGGUAUAAUUAAGUUAGUUCAAUGCAUUAAUUUAAGAAACUUGAUCUAUCCAAAGUACAAAAUUAGAUGAAAUCCAUUUCAAUGGUUAAAAUGAUCAAAAUCAAACUUUUUCUAAGUAUUUUUUAAAAGCAUCAAUAUUAAAAGACAAUUUUAUAUUUAGUCGGAGUUUGGACAAAACCAAAAAGCACACAAAAUCCAAGCGACCAUCUCUAGCUUGGAUAGUCACUUGAUCCCACCUAGAGAUGUGCAUGAGUAAAAGGAUUUGAAAAUGGAAAUUGACUAAAUAUUUAGUUGAUCAAUUAAAUUUGCAAUGUCAUAUGCAAUCCUAAUAGCUAGUCAUCUAAUCAAUUAGGUAGUCAAUCAAGUGUUUGUAAUGACUAUUUUGUACAAAAAACCACAUGUAUAGUUAAAUAUAAUGCAUUUCAUUUAUAAAUCUUCUAAUUCUUGAAUAACGAUCCUAUCAUCCUUUGAAAAUUUUUAUUACACCUUUUUUACUUUUGUUCUAAAACUUACAUAUCACCCUUAAUUGUACCAUGAGAACCUAGCUAUUUUUUUUUUUUUUGUAAUUCAUCAAAGUUAGCUUUUGUAUUCAUUGUUGUAUUAUUUUUAGUAUAACUUAGAAAGCUAGUGUUUUCAAGUGAGUAAAAUUAACUUGUAAAUAUUGUAAAGAUUCAUUGAUAUGUAUCUUAAACUAAGUGUACAAAUUAAAACAUUUGCUAGUAGAUUUUCUCAAAAUUUAGAAUAGAGCUUGAGGCUAUUGAAAUAGGUGGGGUUACACCAAACCACAUCACAUCGUUGUUUGCACCUUUUUUCACUCUCUUUUACUUAGUUUCUCUAUAUUUGUUGUCUAGUAAUAUCCUAUAGGCUUGAUGGGUUAGGGAGCAUCCCUUUGUGAAAAAAUUUCAUUCAAUUCUUAGUUGUAUUACGCAUAUAUAAAAUGCCUCAUUGUUUUAAUGGUAUUCAGUCGUGGCAUCACAGAUAUGGGCAUCUAAAUUUUAAAAGUUUGAAACUUUUGUAAAGCAUGUUGAUAAAAUCCAUGAGAGUUGUGUACUUGGGAAGCAACAUCGAGGUGACUUUAUUUUUUUUUCCUUUUAUAAUGCCACACCUAAGUCCGGUUUCUAAAUGCUAAAGUGAAAGGGUAGGUAUGGACCAUUGAAAUGUGAUCACAACUUUUGGCCUUUUCCUUUCUCUGCAGCCAUGUUGUCUCUUUUUUCUUUUGCAUGAUUUUCUUACCAAAACAGAAUCAUAGACUUGUUUAGUCUCUAAGCUACUAUAUUAUAUCUCGGUGGACUUUUAAGAGUGCAACCGACAUAGAGCACAUGCAAGUGGGCAUAUGGGACAUGAAAUUUCUUCUUACAAAGAUUGCAUGAUUUUUAUAUUAGAGUUGUUCACGUGCAAUGUAUUUAGCUUGUUUUGCAGUUAAAUUAAUUGGAUAAGUAAACAUUGGCAUUUCUAAAUCGACUGUGAAGUGCUUCAUGUACGUGUAAAGUAUUAGAAAUUUCUUUCUUGGCAACUUGUUUUUUCCUUGCCAUCUACUGGUAGGUUUGACUAAAAUUAUAUUCCCUGUCAUGCUAAUUAAUUUUCAUGUGCAUGCUCAAAAGAAGAGUAUGACCUUAGUGCACCAAAAUCACUUUGAUUAAUUUGUGAUAGGUUUUUUUGCAUCAUUUAGAUAAUGUUUAGUUCUAAGAAAAAUUUAUAUAAAAAUGGUUUAUUUAUCUUACAUAUAUAUAUAUAUAUAUAUAUUUUUUUUUUUUUCAUUUUUUUUUCUUCUAUUUUAUUUAUUUAUUUUAUUUUCCUUAUGUUUUCCUCACAUUUUCCGGAACUAAACAUAGUCUUACGAAAUCAACAAUUGCCUUCAACUGAGUAGAUUCUGUUGUUUUAGCAAUGUUAGGCUGCUAACUUGUGGUGGUACGAACCAAAUGACCCAUGUUAAUCUUGGCUUGGUUUGAUUUGGCUCUAUCUCAGAGAGCUAAAGGAUCACGUCAACUCUGGUUUCUACUAUUCAGGUCCAUUCCCAGAUGAACUGGUUCAAAUUUGAGAAAAUGGUAACAGACCUUUAGUGAUGUUGGUUUGGAGCCAGUUGCCAAACCCGCCCUGAGCUUUACCACUAAUGUCAAGGGAGAAAGCCAUUUGAACAAAAACAAUAGCUUCAAGAGACUGAAUCGUGGAUGAAAUCUGAUCCACAUUUCUUCUCAUUUUGGGAAAAAAUGAGAACUUAACUACAAAGAUUCUACUGCCUCAUUCAUAGUGCUUUUCCUGAUCCAAGGUUGGUUCGUUUCCCAAAUUGUGAGGUGCACGUGCCACUCUCACGCUCAGGAGUGUAUCCACGUGGUGGACAUCAGAUGGUGGCUUAAUAUCUGGUGUCGGUGGCUUUACUUUACUAGGAGAGUAGUGUGUCUUCAUCUCAUUCACUGCCGGAGGGUGGCGUAAGCAGUGACGCUAAGGUGGGGCACAGUCAAUAUCAUUUGCAUUUGACCAUUAUAGUUUUCUCCCGGCUUGAAAGUAACCUUAUCGUGAUAAAGGAUUACUAGCACUAGUUCAGAUGACCGUCAUGUUAAUUCGGACCAUGUUUGUGUCACAUUAUCAGCAACCAUGUGUUUAUGGUUCAUGCUAUCUGCAACUAAACUUGAUAUAUAACCAGGUGAACUUCAAUCAAAAUUCUGGAAGUACUCUUGUGAUAGAUGGUGCCUGUCUGCAGAGUCCAUCAAUUGAAAAAUGGAGUGAGUGUAUCUAUAAGAGGGAAGGCUUGGCAAAUGUUCAGUUUUCUGGGAAUUCAACAAGGAUCUAAAAUAGAUUGUUUUCUUUGCCGACUUCAAUGGUUGAAAUUUGAGAAGAUUGUGUCCACAUAUCACAACUAUUACUGGUCCUUCUGUUGCAAUUUAUCCUGUAAGGCUCUAACAUGUCUUCCAAUUCCCACUUCCCUGUUACUCCAGGAAAGCUAUUUCUGUCAUUGUGAAGAAGAAAAGAGAAUGUACAUAUCGAUGCUUUUAAGUGACUGGAGCAUUCAUAUCAGGUGGUCUGCAGCCAUAUAUGCCACUUUGUGAAGGUUGGAACAGUCAAUCACUAGGCUAUAUAUUGGUGUGGCCCAGCCACUUCAAUCAAGGACAAGUCUUCAUACUUAAAGUCAAAUUCUGCCUUUAGUCUCAUUAUAAAUUGCUGUUUAAAUAUUAAGCAAACUUUUGUUUAAUGCGAUUAAGACAGUACUAACUCAAUACUUGUUCUAUUUUUGGAUGCAAAUGCUUGAUGGUUUCAUCAUUGGAUGGGAUAAAGGUGCAUUCAUGAUUAUGAAUACUUGUAGUUAUAUUUUCAUUCUCUUUUUUCUCAAUGAGACUUGUUGGCACAAUGUUGCUGUUCAGAAACCUACCUCUCCAUGGAAAAUAAGUUGCGAUUGAUAGUACUGGAUAUGUUCAAGAAAGCUAAAUAUAGAUAGCACAAAAUAUUAUCGAUAUAAAUAGCAUUAACAGCGUACGUAUGUCUCAAUGCUCAUCAGCUAUAAGCAUGGGACAAACACUUACUAUGAGCAACUUACGUCAAAAUUCCAGAAUAGGACAUAGAAGUGACAGAUCUAUAUAUAUAGAACACUGCAUAUGAGUCACAAGAAAGGAAAUUACGGGUGCAUAGCAGCUCUUAUUUUACAUACUACUACUCAUACUGAUCAAAGUCACUCAGUUGGGAUGGGUGGGAGUAGGAGGUUUGUGGGGUGGCUUGUGCGGAGGAGUUGGCAGCUUCUUUCCAGGACCUGGUUGCUUCUCUGCUGGAGUUGAAGGAGGCUUAAUCUUCCGAGGUGGCUUGUAUGAGUCUUCAGCAUUCUCAGCUGGAGGGUGACCAGGGUUGUGACCAUAAUGUGGUGGCUUCUCUCCCUUAGGUGGUUUGCCAACUGGGGUUGGUGGCUUGUAUGAGUCUUCAGCAUUCUCAGCAGGAGGGUGACCAGGGUUGUGACCAUAAUGUGGUGGCUUCUCUCCCUUAGGUGGUUUGCCAACUGGGGUUGGUGGCUUGUGUUCUGGGAGUGGCUUCUCCCCCUUGGGAGGUUUUUCCAAUGGGGUUGGUUUGUGUUCAGGAGGUGGCUUCUCCACUGGAGGCUUGUGUUCAGGAGGUGGCUUCUCCACCGGUGGCUUGUGUUCAGGAGGUGGCUUCUCCACCGGAGGCUUAUGCUCUGGUGGUGGCUUCUCCACCGGAGGCUUAUGCUCUGGUGGUGGCUUCUUGAAUGGGGGAUGCUGAGGGUAAUCAGCAAGUGAGGGGGCGGUGAGAACCACCAGGCCAAGCAACACCACUAGCAAAUAUGUAGGAGACAUCUUUGGGUUUGGGCUCAGAUGGUGCAAAACUAGGAGAAUUGGCUAGCCUUUUAUAGCGGAUCGUACUCAAUAAUGAAAUGACACGUGUCAUUAUGACCCAUGUGUAAUGGGGUCGAUUUGGGUCCUACAGUGUUGAAAACUUCGACAUCCAGUUUUGGCCUUUUGCUUUCUCUACAGCCGCCUUGCUUUUUCCCUCUUUCCUUUUGUUUUCCUCCUGCCCCAUUCUAUCAACUAAACACAAUUAUGUAGUUGUUUAAUUCUUAAAUGAGAUAUUAUCGGUCAAUCGUAUUAUAUUUUAUCAAGAGAGAACGGAGUGCAAUGCAGCUGUAAUUUUAUCGUUUACUUUUAUCUCUUGGACCACUGCAUUUUUGUUAAGAGGUGCAAUAAUACACGUCUUUAUCUGCCAUUCAAUGUUUACAGUAAAGAGAGGGCACAAAACUCUUCACUGCUCUGCAUGUGUCCCAAAAAUGCGAUUGGACAAAUUAUGAUUUGCAUGCUAAAAAGAGGCAAAUGAGGUUAAUUCGCACCAUAAUUAUUUGGUUUUCUGGACACCAUAAAAAGAUGUUAUACAGGCAGGGAAAAACCUUCAGAGUUAGCUACCAAAGAUAAUUAUCAAGCAGAUAUCACCAAGAGAAUUCCAUAGAGUCUGAAUCAAAGACAGAUUGCUCGCUCGUGGGGGUUCUUACUUUCUUUUGGGUAUAACUCACUGAGGUCACUGUCUUUUUUAUUUGCAUUUCACAGUUAGAGUUCUGCUCUGGAAGGUUUGUUCUGGAAACAUAUAAAAGGAGCAUCAUUUUGUUCUUGGGUAACCCAUAGUCGUGAGUGGGUCCAUUUGCAUGCUACUUAGUUGAAAAGUUGGACAAUUUGCUCCGACGCCUACCUCCUGGAUUCCAUGCUCGGUAAAACAAGAAUAAAAAAAAAUAUAUAAUUUACAAAUGGGGGAAAGAAAAAAUGUCGGAAAAAAUAGUAAAAUUCAUGUCACAUGCUAGUGAGAGAAGGGGUUGUUACACUCACUCGAAGUUCUUUUCAAAAUAUCGAAUGGUAUUUUACUUUAUGUGUCAGCGCAGUUGUGAAUGGAACGUGCAAAAGUCCAAAUUGGCGUUUUUAUUUUUCCCAUGUAGGAUGGUGACCUUUAAUAAAUAUUUAAAACAAAAGACGAAAAAAAAAAGGAGGGAAAAGGGAUCACAAAAGAUAAAAUAAUGUUUACAAAAGCUCAAUUAGUUUGCAAAUUACUGUUUGGAUUUUGAUAGUAUUUUAUUUGUCGUUCUAUAUUUGAUGUAAAAGAGAAUUUAAGAUAUUUCCGAAGCAAAAGCAUUAGUUUGCUCUGUGAUGUCCCACAUCGAAUAGGGGAGAAAGUUUCUGGCGCUAUAUAUGUAGAGGCUCCUCUUAACCAAGUAGAUGCGUUUUAAAACCAUGAGGGCCCCCUUAGGUCCAAAGCGGACAAUAUCUACAUGAUUGGGUGUAAGUCAUUACAAAUGGUAUCAGAGCCGAUCCCCGACCCCGGUGUGGGGGUUUGUUUGGCCCUGUAAGGGGUGUUUGUCUGUUUGACCCCACAAUCCCAUGGGACACAACGAGGACGUUGUGUCUGCAUGGGGGGGCGUUUGUGAUGUCCCACAUCGGAUAGGGGAGAAAGUUCCUAGUGCUAUAUAUGUAGAUGUUUCUCUUAACCAAGUAGAUGCAUUUUAAAAUUGUGAGGGCCUCUUUGGGCCCAAAGCGGACAAUAUCUACAUGGUUGAGUGUAAGUCAUUACAUGCUCCAUGUCAAUUUCAGCAUUUCUCAUAUGUUUCACACAUACACAGAAGAGCAUCGUUUUUUAAAGCAUGCAUUUAUGUUGGAUUAAUUUGGAUUUUGUGGGAACUGGGGCAAGGAUCACAUGGAAGAGAGGUUGACUUUUUUCAGUACUUCAAUGGUUGAAAUAUGUGAAGGCUUGAUUGAUACUAAAGCUUGAAAUUGCGACUCUGUCAUUUGUAAAAAAAUAUGACAGCUUCCAUGCUCUCGUUUGGUUGCAUUGUCCGGUCGAGAGGUGCAAAAAGCAUUCUCUCUCUUCUAAUAGUCUUUUCGUUUAAAUCAAGGGAUUUGCCUUCCCGGUCGAGGUCCAAUAGAGGGUAACGGUCACCUACUAAACAUUAAAUGCUCCAACAACUAGUGAACUGAUCGACCCCAGCUCGACUAGUUGAGGUUACUUUUUGGUUUUCUUGUCUCCCGAGGUUAGAAACCUAUAAAUAGAGAGCUUCACUUCAUUUAUGAGUAAGAGAACACCUAAAUUUAUUUGUUUACCUACUUGUUUUUGCCAUAAAAGCUCUCAUUUCUUUUCUUGGUGUAUUAAAUCUCCAUUUGCAUAUCCUUUAGUGCACCUUUGUGAUUCAUUCUAGCCUUGAGUUGUAUUUAAGCCUUUGUUGAGCUAGGUUGAGAGUUUCAUACUUGUUUAUUGAGUGUUAAAGCCUUCAAGUGAGUUAAAACUUGAAGAGAUUGUGUAAGAGCCCAUUGGAGUCGGAAUCCAAGUGUAAAGGUGAUUAAAAGCUUGGUUGAAGCUUCAAGUUAGUGGAACUCUCACUCGGUUAUGAGCUUGAGAAGAGUGGACAUAGACAAGGCAGUGUCGAACCACUAUAAAAUCUGAGUUUGAUUUCUCUAACCUUAUCUCUUUAUAUUUGCUUCUCUUGUGCUUAAAUUUUUUGUGUUUAAAAAGAAUUUUUAAAAACUCAAUUCACCCCCUUCUUGGGAGUUUUUCUCUUUUAAGAUCAGCUUUUAUUUUCUCAAUUGGUAUCAGAACUAUGCCUCUUGUUUAAGACUUAAUCGUCUAAGAGGAAAUGGCUAAUCCAUCAAGUUCAUCUCACAUUGAAAGUUUUGCAACCAAUAGACUUCUUUUUUUUUUUUUGCGGGAACUGAUUAUCCCUAUUGGAAAACUAAAAUGACUUGGUUUUUACAAUCAAUUGAUUUAGAUGUAUGAGAUGCCAUUGAAGAUGACCUAACUUUUCCUUCAAAACUAGUUGAUGGAGUCAUGGUUCCAAAACCUAAGCAAGAAUGGGAUGAGCGUGAUUGAAGAAAUUUUCAAUUAAAUGCUAAAGUCGUUUAUACUUUGCAAUGCUCUAUGGACAGAAAUGAAUAUAAUAGAAUAUGUCAAUGCAAAUCGGUUAAAGAAAUUUGGAGAUUGCUUGAAAUAACUCAUAAAGGAACAAAUCAAGUUAAAGAGUCAAAAAUCAAUUUACUUGUUCAUAGAUAUGAAUUGUUUUUUAUGAAAGAUAAUGAAACUAUUGUUAAGAUGAUCACUAGGUUCACCAACAUUGUUAAUGGUCUUAAAGCCUUGGGAAAGACCUACAAGGAAUCCGAAAACGUGAUGAAGAUCUUGAGGUCACUUCCAUCAAAGUGGCAUACCAAGGUCACCGCAAUUUAAGAAGCAAAAGACUUGAUCAAGCUACCUUUGGAGGAGUUCAUAGGGUCAUUGAUGACAUAUGAAAUCAAUUUGGCAAAGAAGUAACAAAAAGGUGAAGACAAAAAGAAGAAGAACAUAACUCUCAAAGCUACAACUAAGGAAGAAGAAGUUGAAGAAGAAAAACAAAUUGAAGAAGAUGAAGAUUUAGCCCUCAUCACAAGAAAGUUCAACAAAUUCAUGAGGGGUGAAAGGUUUAGAAGAAGAAGGUUCACUUCUAGAAGAGACUUUUCUAAAAAGGAAUCUUCAUCUAAUGGUGACAAAAAGAGAUGGGAAGAGAAAAGAGACUUGGUGUGUUUCAAGUGCAAGAAACCGGGACACAUUAAAUAUGAUUGUCCUCUCUACAAAAGUGAAGUCAAGAGGAAAAAGAAUAAGGCAAUGAUGGCCACUUAGAGUGAAAGUGAAGAUGAAUCAUCCGAAGAAGAAAAUGAGAAAGAAGUGGCAAACAUGUGUUUCAUGGCAAUAGAUGAACUUGAUGAGGUAAAAUCUAACCUUAGUGAUUAAGAUAUACAUGAUGCAUUUGAAGAAUUGUAUGAGGAUUUUUAAAAACUUAGUUUGAAAAAUAUUUCUCUUAAAAAGAAAGUUCAACAACUUGACAAAGAACUUAGAGAAGUAAAAGAAAAAUUUUCAAAUGUUAAAGUUUCUAAAACUCAUCUUGAAAAAGAAAAUGAGAUUCUAAGAAAGAAAAAUGAAUAGUUGAACUCCUCUCUUUCAAUCUUUUCUUCUAGACAAAAAUCUUUUGAAAUGAUUCUAACUAGCUAAAAAUGUGUUUUUGACAAACAAGGGUUAAGAUUUAAAUCUUCAAAAAAUCAAAAGUAUUUUAAAAACUAUUUUGUAAAGGAAUCCACAAGUGCAAGUCCUUCCACUACUUGCAACUUUUGUGGAAGAGAAUGGCACAUUAGUAGUACGCCCUUUAAGAAAUGGUUCUCAAAAGAAUUUAAAUGCAAAAACUAAAAAAGAUUUGGAUUGAGAAAUCCAAGGUCACUAACCCUCAAGGACCCAAAAAGAUAUAGGUACCUAAAUCAACUUGAGUUUUAUGUUGUAAGGUUCAAAGAAUGAUAAGUGGUUCUUAGAUAAUGGUUGCUCAAGACACAUGACCGGAGAUGAAUCCAAGUUUGCUUUUCUUAAAAAGAAAAAUGGAGGAUAUGUUACCUUUGGAGACAAUGCAAAAGAAAGGAUGAUUGGUCAAGGCAACAUUGGUAAUGGCACAUCCUCUCUCAUUGAAAGUGUUUUAUUAGUAGAUGGUUUCAAACAUAACCUUUUAAGCAUUAGUCAAUUUUGCGACAAAGGUUUUUAAGUGAUUUUUUAAGCAUCUCAUUGCAUCAUCAAGGAUAUUCAAAAUGAUAAAACCAUUUUCAUGGGCCAUAGAUGUGAUAAUGUUUAUGCUAUAAAUAUUUCAAAAUAUGAUGGCCAUGAUAGAUGUUUUUCAAGCAUGCAUGAUCAAAGUUGGUUGUGCCAUAGGAGAUUGAGACAUGCUAACAUAGACCUCAUUUCCCAACUCAACAAAGAUGAACUUGUUAGAGGCCUUCCCAAAAUAAUUUUUUAAAAAGAUAAAGUUUGUGAAGCUUGUCAAGUGGGAAAGUAAAUCAAAAACUCUUUUAAAAACAAAAACUUCAUUUCCACAUCUAGGCCACUUGAGUUGUUGCAUAUGGAUUUAUUUGGUCCCUCUAGGACACCAAGUCUUAGAGGAAAUUCUUAUGCAUAUGCUAUUGUGGACGACUUCUCUAGAUACACAUGAGUCUUGUUUUUUAGUCAAAAGAAUAAAGUUUUUUAUGAGUUUUCAAAGUUUUGCAAUAAGAUUCAAAAUGAAAAAGGUUUUUCAAUUACUUAUAUAAGAAGUGAUCAUGGGAGAGAAUUCGAAAAUAUUGAUUUUGAAGAGUAUUGCAAUGAGCAUGGAAUUGACCACAAUUUUUUGGCUCUUAGAACUCCUCAACAAAAUGGGGUAGUUGAAAGGAAAAAUAGAACUCUUCAAAAAAUGACAAGAACCAUACUAAAUGAAAACAACUUACCAAAAUAUUUUUAGGCCAAAACGGUUAACACUUCUUGUUAUGUUUUAAAUAGAGUAUUAUUGAGGCUCAUACUUAAGAAAACUCCCUAUGAGCUUUGGAAAAACAAAAAACCCAACAUUAGUUAUUCCAAAGUCUUUGGAUGCAAUAUUUUAUAAUAAACACCAAAGACAAUCUUGGAAAAUUUGAUGCAAAAUUGGAUGUUGGAAUUUUCCUUGGUUACUCAACUUCAAGUAAAGCUUUUCGAGUUUUAACAAAAGAACCAUGGUUGUAGAGGAGUCCAUCCAUGUUAUUUUUUAUGAAUCUCCAAGAAAGAGAGAGGAUUGAUGAUGAUUUAGGUUUGAAGACCUCUAUAGGAAGAUUGCAAAUCGAAGAUAGAAGACAACAAGAAGAAAAUGGAGAGAAUCCAAAGAAAGAAGGAUCACCAUUGGCACUACCCCCUCAUCAACAAGCGCAAGGUGAAUCAAGUCAAGAGCUUCCUAAAGAAUGGAAGUUUGUCAUCAAUCACCCACAAGAUCAAAUUAUAGGCAAUCCAUCUAGUGGGGUAAGAACUAGAUCCUCUCUUAGAAAUAUUUGCAAUAAUCUAGCUUUUAUCUCUCAAAUUGAGCCUAAAAAUAUAAAUGAUGUUUUAGAUGAUGAAAAUUGGAUAAUUGCAAUGCAAGAAGAGUUAAAUCCAUUUGAAAGAAGUGGAGUAUGGGAAUUAGUACCAAGACCUUCAAAUCAAAGUGUUAUUGGAACUAGAUGGAUCUUUAGAAAUAAAAUGGAUGAAAAUAGCAUAAUUGUUAGAAAUAAAGCAAGAUUGGUAGCCCAAGGUUUUAAUCAAGAAGAAAUGAUAGAUUAUGAAGAAACCUUUGCCCCCGUAGCUAGGUUGGAAGCCAUUAGGAUGCUACUUGCCUUUGCAUGUUUUAAAGACUUUGUUUUAUAUCAAAUGGAUGUGAAAAGUGCUUUUUUAAAUGGUUUUAUAAAUGAAGAAGUAUAUGUUGAACAACCACCCGGUUUUCAAAGUUUCAACUUUCCUAACCAUGUUUUUAAACUUAAAAAGACACUUUAUGGUUUGAAACAAGCACCUAGAUCAUGGUAUGAAAAAUUGAGUAAAUUUCUUUUGAAAAAAAUGUUUUAAAAUGGGAAAAAUUGACACAACUCUUUUUAUAAAAACCAAAGAAAAUGAUAUGCUCUUAGUUCAAAUAUAUAUUGAUGAUAUCAUUUUUGGUGCUACUAAUGUCUCUCUUUAUGAAGAAUUUUCUAAGUGCAUGCAUAGUGAGUUUGAAAUGAGCAUGAUAGGAGAACUCAACUUCUUCCUUGGACUUCAAAUCAAGCAACUAAAGGAAUGAACCUUCAUCAAUCAAGCAAAGUAUAUAAGAGAUCUUCUCAAAAGGUUCAACAUGGAAGAAGCCAAAACAAUGAAGACUCUAAUGAGCUCAUCCAUUAAGCUUGAUAAGGAUGAGAAAGGUAAAUCCAUUGACUCUAUUAUGUAUAGAGGCAUGAUAGGUUCUUUGCUCUAUUUGACCACUAGUAGACCUUACAUUAUGUAUAGUGUGUGUUUGUGUACUAGAUUUCAAUCUUGUCUUAAAAAAUCUCACUUAAGUGUCGUGAAAAGAAUCCUCAAAUAUUUGAAAGGGACAAUGGACAUAGGCUUAUGGUAUCCUAAGAGUGAUAACUUUGAAUUAAUUGGUUUUUUGGAUGCUGAUUUUGUCAGUUGUAGGGUUGAAAAAUAAAACACUAGUGGCACUUUUCAUUUCUUAAGACACUUACUUGUCUCAUGGCAUAAUAAGAAGCAAAAUUUGGUAGCUUUGUCAACAGCAGAAGCUAAAUACAUAGCAACUGGUUUAUGUUGUGCACAAAUCCUUUGGAUGAAAUAAACACUUAGUGAUUUUGAUUUAUCUUUUGAGCAUAUUCCUAUUAAAUGUGAUAAUAGUAGUGCCAUAAGUAUAUCAAAAAAUCUCGUGCAACACUCUAGGACUAAGCAUAUAGAGAUUAGACAUAAUUUUCUUAGAUAUCAUACACAAAAGGAUGAUAUAACACUUGAAUUUGUAAGCAUAAAAGACCAACUUGCCGAUAUCUUUACAAAACCUCUAAGAACAUUUUGUUGAUAUUAGAGGACAAUUAGGAGUGAUUUCUUUAUGAUCUAAUGUGAUGAAUUCUUGAUGAAUAUACUUUUUGAUUGCAUGAAUUUCAUGUCAUAUAUGCAUCAUAUAGAAAUAUACUUAGAUAAUGGUCAAAUUUCGACCAAAAAUCAAAAUUCCCAUGGCAUUAGGCAUAAAAAUUUUGGAAUUUCAACUGAAAAUGGUAGGAGGAGGAUCACAAAAUGAGAAAGUAUGCAAAAAUUGAAAAAUCAAAACGUUGACCAAGCGGUCAAUCGGACUAGACCGAUCGACUAGUUUGUCGAGAUUUAGGAUUUUUAAGAGACUCCAACGCUUCAAUUUUUGCACCGUUCUCCUCUAUUUCUUCACGGUUUCUCUGAUUUUGUCUUUUAGAGACUAAUUUGAGUGCGUUUUGGAUCAAUUGAAGCAUUUUGGAUUGGAUUUUAGGAAGAUUGAAAGUUAAGGUUUCGGAUUUGGGUCGCCUUCUCUUCCUCUCGCGUGUCACAAUCAGCUUUAGCAUUGUUCUCUUUCCAUUUUCACACACCUAGGGUUUCAGUUGUGAGCAUCUCUCUCUCUUUACCAACCACUACUCCCUUGCUUCUUCCAUAUGGCUCCUAGGCGAGAGUCCGCUACUUCUAGGGCACAAGGCAAGCACCCAACUGAGUCGUCUCAGUCAAAGGCACGUCGAAAAGUGAGAUUUGACAUUGCCUUGUUCAGUUCCAUGGAGGACUACCAACUAUACAAGCAACACUUUGCUUAGAGACGAGUAGUUCCCAAGAGAAAUAUUAAUUUUCCUCAACUUCAGCAUUUCGAAUUUAAGGGUCUAUUUACUAGGAUGGUUGGUUGUCUAUUGUCACAAUUUCGGAGCCGGUUUUCCUGACCUUAGUGCGAGUUUUUUACUCGAGGGCGACUUAUGGCAUGGGUGGCAUGAUCAUUUCUACUGUUGGAGGAGUUGAGAUCUGUCUGGACCCAGAGAGCAUCUGCCAUAUUUUCGAUAUUGCUCUGGUUGGACUCAAAGUAUACAAGUCCAAAAUGUGGCCCAUUGUGCCAGGAUUUGAGCUUAGAGAGGUCAUUCAGAGGAUUUGUGAACUUCCAGACGCCCAGGAGAUGGGCAAACCAUUGCCACACAGUUUGACGGUCAUCAACAGGGUGCUACACCAUAUAUUGUGCUCUAUCUUUCUACCACGAAGUGGACAUUGAGAUGAGGUCUCUUAUUAUGAGGCAUUCCUUAUUGACUCCAUUCUAACGGAGAGACGAAUUCAUCUACUAUGUCAUCAUUCACUAAGCCUCCUCACAGUGACAUACCACCUCAUCAGGCACCUCUUGCUCCUGACCAUGCUCCAUUGAUGGAUUUAUUUACUCAUAUUAGCUCUCUAGGCACUCGCAUGAAGGAGUUUGUUGUAGUUAGUGAUACAUGGUUCUACUCCAUAGAGGAUCGCAUGGAUCAGUAUCAGACUGGCUUCACGUCACAGUUUGAGUAUCUCCAAUAGAGGAUUGAGCAUAUUGAGGAUCACUUGAGCAUGAGAAGAUGAUGGCUUUUCUAUGCUCUGUGUUUCCACCUCCACCUCGUCAACCUUGAUUUCUUAGAGACCCAUUGUUUUCAUUUUGUAAUGUUGCCAAAAGGGGGAGAUAUUUAGGAUCUAGGACUCUAUAGGAGACUUACAUGCAUAUCAUUUUCAUAUCAUUGUUUGGAUCGUACAUAUUGGAUAGUGAUACUUUUUACUUAUAUAUGAUAUGCCUAUAUGUUUCAUGUCUUACAUUGUUUCUUAUUGCAAAUUAUCUCUAACAUGUCUUGAUUAUCUUUUUUUUAACUUCAUAAAUUUUGAUUGUUAACCCAUGAUUGGUUUGAGGGGAAGAUUCUUCUUCUCCUAGAUAACCAAGGUUUGUCAUCAUAAAAAAAUUGGAGAUUGUUAGCCCAAGGGUUCUCCUAAUCAUGUUUUGAUGAUAACAAACCAUGCUUAAGUUACUAAUUGGUUUGAAUUAUAAAGAAUUUCAAGUGUUAAUUUGAAAAUUCAUCAAAGAACCUAAUGGAUGCAAGAUCAAGAUUUUUGGAAGACCUUUAAUCAUAAGAAACAUAUGUAAGAUGAAUGCAUGGGUGCACUUAAGAUUUGCAUAUCAUUUCAUGCAUAUUUGGAAAACACGGUUUAUGCUUUAAAGUUACAUUUCCAUCAAAAUUUGAGAUCCAUCAAAUGAACCUUAGGAAAAAUGUUUUAAAAUUGGCAUAUAAUUUUACCUAAAGACCUUGCCUAAGUGUUAGAAGCAAAAGGACAAAAAAAAUAUAGGUUUUCUGGUCAAAAAUGGUGAACCAGUCAAGGCAUUGUCUAAAUCAGCUCAAUCGGCCAAGGUACCGGUCGAUCGGUUUCCCUUUCCCUGUCGAGAUCUAGUCAAGAGGUACAAAAAUCACAAUCUCUGUCUCUUUCUCUCUUUGUCUAUCUUCCAGUAGUCUUUCCUUCCCGGUCGAGGGAUUUGCCUUCCCGAUUGAGGUCCGAUUGAGAGUAAUAGUCACUUGCCAAAUAUUAAAUGCUCCAACAGUUAGUGAACUGGUCGACCCCCACCUUGCCCAGUUGAGGUUACUUUUUGGUUUUCUUGGCUCCCGAUGUUAGAAACCUAUAAAUAGAGAGUUCCACUUCAUUUAUGAGCAAGAGAACACUUGCAUUUAUUUGUUUACCUACUUGUUCUUGCCUUAAAAGCUCUCAUUUCUUUUCUUGGUGCAUUAAAUCUCCAUUUUGAUAUCCUUUAGUGCACCUUUGUGAUUCAUCUUAGCCUUGAGUUGUAUUUGAGCCCUUUUUUUAGCUAGGUUGAGAGUUUCAUACUUGUUAAUUGAGUGUUAAAGCCUUCAAGUGAGUUGAAACUUGUAGAGAUUAUGUGAGAGUCGAUUGGAGCCGAAAUCCAAGUGUAAAGGUGAUUAGAAGCUUGGUUGAAGCUUCAAGUUAGUGGAAUCCUCACUCAAUUAGGAGCUUGAGGAGAGUGGACGUAGCCAAGGAAGUGUCGAACCACUAUAAAAUUUGAGUUUGAUUUCUCUAACAUUGUCUCUUUAUAUUUGUUUAUCUUGUGCUUAAAUUUAUUGUGUUUAAAAAGAAUUUUUAAAUACCCAAUUCACCCCCCUCUUGGGUGUUUUUCUCUUUUAAAAUUAGCCUUUAUUUUCUCACAAACUAUUGUAGUAUAGUGGUUUUUAGGUGUCAUCCAUUAGGAUGAAUUGUUCUCGGUAAUUAAGGCGUGAAUGAGAGGAGAAUUAAUGAUUGUGAUUAAGUAAAAUUGAUUUGAAAAUUCAUGGUGAAAAAUCAAUUUAACAAUGGUUUCUAAUUGAGAAAAACAAUGAAAUGUGAAAUAAAAUAAAAUUAAUAGGAAAUGAAAUUCUCGAAGUUAGAAUUUUCUAAAAAACAAAUUCCAUGGUGAAUGGAUGUUGAGAUCUAAUUUUCAUCAAGUUAGAUUGAAAACCGAAAUUUUCAUAUAAACUGAUUUUUUAUUUAGUUUUAGGUCUAGAUUUAAUUUCCCUUAAAAUUAGGUUAUUUAAUCCAAGAAAUCAAUUCAAAUCAUAUAUUCAAUUCAUCUUAAAUUAUCUUCCAAUUAUUCACACAAUGCAACUAUUCAAUCUCAUCAAAUCUAGCUUUUAAGAAUUUAAUGAAUCUACCUAGUUUGCAUUGUAAUAGUCAUCCAUGACAAUUUGAAGAGAAAAAUAAUUCAAUUAAUCAAUCACUUGGAUCAAAUUACCUUUGCAAUUAAAGUUCAUUUCUCUAAUUCACCACAGAUUUUGUCUCUAGAUCCUCCUUUCUCAAAGAAAAAUGAGAUUUAGCCACACAUGAUUGGAGAUUUGGUCUCAUAAGGCAUGUUUAGCUAGUGAUAAAAUGAGAGAAAAUAAAGAAAAAUAGAGAAUUCGAUUAAGAAAGAAAAUCUAAAAAAUUCUACAAUUAGAAAUGUCCAAAAAGCUUUUUCAUGAGAAAAUCAAGUUUCUAUUUAUAGGCCAAGGUCAAGUGGACACUUGACAUCAUCUAAGAGGUCUUCCGGAAGCUUCUUCAUCAAGAAAUCUGGAGUUUAAUAAUAAAAUGGUCAUUUCACAAGAGCUCAAACAAUUUCGCAUGAUUAUGUGAAAUAAAAAAUGCAACAACAGCAAUUUACAUCUUCUUGGAGCAUUUCGCAUGACUGUGUGAAAUUUUCACAUGAUCAUGUGGAAUCGACUUGACAACUCUCAUUUAGCCUACAACAUAAUUCCACCUUUUGGUCCAUUUUUCAUAGUCAUGCGAAAUGGAAAUAUUUGAUUUUUAAGUUUUCUUUUGUCAUUUCUUUCAUUUCCUUCUCUUGAUUCCACUUCAACUACCUCCGAAUCCUGGUCCAAACCAAUUGCAUUACUUCUUUCAUUAUGCAUUUGGAUCAUCAUCAACAUUAUUUGUUCUCUUCAAUUUGAUUCAUCUCUUUUGUCACCAAUUUAUCAAAAUCAUACCUUGAAAUGACUCCAAAACUUCAUAAAACUUGUUAGUAACUCUUGCAAGGGCAACAACAUAUUAAUUAAGUGUUUUAGGCAUAGUUACUACUCAAAAGAUGCGAAACUCAUGAUAAUUAUUAUAUAAAAUAUGCUCUUUUUGAGUAGUAAUCAACUUUCUUGCAUAAGCAGACCUUUUAGGGUGGAGUACUAAAGACCAAUAUGCUUGUCCUUGUUGUAAUAAAGAAACUUGCUCUUAUUGAUUGCACCAUGGGAGAAAAUUUUGCUACAUGAGUUAUCAUCAAUUUCUUCCCACCAAUCAUAGAUUUAGACGUGACAAGAGGCCUCUUAAUGGCAAGGAGGAACUGACACUCACACUUAUACAAUUAUCGGGCAUUGAUGUGUUGCAACAAUUAGAAUAACUUACACCAAUUAUGUUGGGGAAGUCACAAAAGGCAAACAUGAAAACUAAAAGGAAAAAAGAAAAAUGUUACAUAUCACCACAACUGGAAAGAAAAAAGUAUUUACUUUCAUUUGCCAUAUUGGAAAGCACUUAUUUUACAUCAUAAUAAUUUAGACAUAAUGCAUAUUGAGAAAAAUGUGUGACAAUAUAAUUGAGACAUUGUUCAGUAUUGACGAAGAAACAAGGACAACCUAAAUAGUCAUCUCGAUUUACAAGCUCUAACUAUUAGAAAUGAGAUUCACCCAAUAGAAAGCAGGACCAAAUUUAUUUUGCUUGCAACAUGCUACUCACUCACCCCAAAUGAGAUUAAGGAAUUUUGCAAGUUUUUGAAAUCAAUAAAGGUCCCCAAUGGCUAUUCUUUCAAUAUCUCUCGUUAUGUGCAACUCAAUGAAAGGAAGAUAUAUGAGCUCAAAUUGUAUGAUUGUCAUGUCCUAAUGCAACAACUUCUCUCACUUGUAGUUCGUGGAGUUCUACAUAAGAAUGUUUGUGGAGUUAUCAUAGAAUUGCGUAAUUUUUUCAAGCAAUUGUGCUCAAAGGUGUUAGAAACAAAUCACUUACACCAACUUGAGAACAAUAUUAUUGUCAUACUAUGUAAAAUGGAGCAAAUAUUUCUUCCAUCAUUCUUUGAUAUUAUGGUGCAUUUACUUGUGCAUCUAGUAAGGCAAAGGUUGCAAGACUUGUGCAAUAUUGUUGGAUGUACCUAAUUGAACGAUAUUGUUAUAAUUUCAUAUGAAUCAUUUAAUUUUAUUUUAUAUUAUGUUCAGUUCAUUAACAUGUACAUUGGUCUACAUAUGGAUGAUGAUAGGUACCUAAGCACUUUAAAGUCAUAUGUGCGUAAUAGAACUUUUCUAGAAGGUUCUAUUGUAGAAAGGUACCUUGCAAAAGAAUGUACAACAUUUUAUUCUAGGUACUUGAAUGAUGUGGAAAUAAAGUAUAAUCACAAUGAUAGAAACUUUGUUGGUUUCAACACUAGAGGAGAUGAAAGGGGUUAUCUUUAAACAUAUUGGACAUGCAUUGGGAAAGCCCAUAUUUCAUUAACUUAGUUCAAAAGAGUGGUCACAAGCACAUUUAUAUGUGUUGACAAAUUGCGAAGAUGUCAUACCAUUCAUUGAGUAAAAAAUUUAUUUGAAUUUUAAUUAAAGCUCUAGUUUAUAUCCUUAAUCAAUGUUUUUUAAAUUCACAAGGAGCACAAGCAAACCAUCAAGGCUAGACCACAUAUACGUGUUUGAGACGUAGAUUUAAUUCAUAACAAGGAAUUUAUCAAGUGGUUUGAAAGACAUGUAAGUAUAUUCCUUAUUAUAAGGGAUUUAUUUCACAUUAUGUUUAUAUUGAAUCCAAACCUAUUAUUGAAUUGUAGGUUGAACAAUUACAUAAUGAAGGUCAUAUAUCUGAACACCUUCUCACAUUAUCAUGUGUUCCAAAUUCAUUAGUUACAUGCUUCAAAUGAUAUAUUGUCAAUGGAUUUAGAUCCCACAUUAAAGAACGUGAUAAAAAAGUUUUUAAAAAAAGACUCAGAAUAAUGGAAUUGUUGUAGUUGCAAAAACGUCAAGCUUUACAAGUGCAUGUGAUAUGAGUCCAAUUAUUAGUGAUGCUCUCUACUAUGGUGUUCUAACUAAAGUUGUUGAGUUACAUUAUCUUGGUGAAAAUAAGGUUGUUUUAUUCGAGUUUGAUUGGUGGGAUGUUACAAAUAUUGGAAAAUUGAUAAAAGAUGAUGAGUACAAUUACACAUUUGUUAACUUUGCAUGAAUUCUAACCACGAACGAACGAUUUGUACUUGCAUCUCCAGCAAAGUAAGUGUUCUAUGUGAAGAAUGCGAAUGAAUCAGAUUGGCAUACUAUCAUGGAGAUGCAACCUCAAGACCUCUAUAAGAUGAACGGGAUAGGAUCCAAUGGUGAUUUUGAACCAUUUCAACAAAGUGAACUACAUGAUCACUAAUAUAUCUCAGAUUUAGUUGAUGAAGAUAUAAUCAAGUGGAACAAAAGUGAUGUUUUAGGACUAAUCAUCCUAAAAAAUAUUGUAGUUUCUUAAAAAAAAAAUGAAAAUGAAGAAGAUAAUUGAACCUUUGUCAUACUUUAAAAAGCAACUAUGCAUUGUUCAUUUUGUAUGUUUUGGUUUUCUUCAUUUAAUUUCCUGAUUUUUGUGAUUCAAUGUCAUAUUAUUGAUCUUGAAAUAUUUUUCUAAUUUUUCAUUCUACGAUGGUUUCAACAAGGAUGACAUCAAGUCAAAAAAGGAAAUGUGGUCCCACACACAAUAUUGCAUUACAGGGAUUAAGGUCAGGGAAGAAGGUAAAAGUUGCAUUUAAUGAGUACAAUCAAUUGGUUAAACAGAAAAAUGGAAAACACUUAUCGAGCUACAUAGGGACACUUGUAUCUAACCAACACAAUGUACCUCUCCAAGCUAGUGAUUGGAAAAAUGUUCCAAAUGAUGCAAAAGAGAAAGUAUGGCCUUUGUUUUGGUAUGUUGUAUUUCUCACUAUAUGAUGUCAUUUCACUGUUAUUCUAUUUUGUGACUAACGUUUGAAUCAUAUGUAAGAAAAAUUUGAAGUAGAUAAAGACUGAAAAGAUUACAUGUUGGGUAUAGCCUCAAAUAAAUAUAGAAGCUAUAAAAAUAUGAUGAAUGCAAAAUACUAUGACCCUUGGCAUAAGGAUGCAUGAGGAGAGGUUAAUACAUAAAUCACCAUUUGUCUCUGAUGUUGAUUGGAAGUGGCUUGUCUCUGAUGCAUAAACCAAAUCCCCCACUGAAUGUUUGAUAUUUGAUAGCAGGAAAAACACACCCGCAGCUAUACACCUCCAUCAUUCAGAUAAUUAUAGUGGGGGAGAUGAUUCAUGGUUGCCCUUAUACCCUUUAUUUGCACCAUCUAUUGAGAUUCUUUAUCAUGGCCAGGUUUUACUGCAGCAAUAAGAUAUGGUGGCAACAAUUUUAUCUAUAGGUGCGGUUCCAGACCGCCUCCAUAGGUGCGGUUCCUGACUGCCUCCAUAGGUGCCUCUUCUUGUAAUGUUUGUUCUGGGAAUUACACUUGAAAGCCUUAUCGUGAUAAGGGAUUACAAACACUAGUUCAGAGGACAGCCAUGUUAAACUUCCACUAUGUUUGUGUCACAUUAUCAGCAGCCUAGUGUUUAUUGGUCAUGCUAUCUGCAACUAAUAUAACCCGGUGAACUUCAAUCUAAAUUCUGAAAGUACUCAUGUGACAGAUGGUGCCUUUCAGCAGAUAUCAUCAAUUUAAAAGUAGUGUGUGUGCCUAUAGGUGGGAAGGCCUUGGCAAAUGUUCAGUAUUCCGGUAAUUCAAGAAGGAUAUAUCUAAAAUAGAUUUUCUUCUUGCCCAUUUCAAUAGUUAAAAUUUGAGAAGAUUGUGUCCACAUCACACAAAUAUUAUUGGUCCUUCUGUUGCAAUUUACCUCUGAACAUGUCUUCCAAUUCCCACGGUCCUGUUACUCCAGGAAAACUAUUUCGGUCAUAUUGAAAAAAAAAAUAUUAAAGAAGGUACACAUGCUUUUAAGUGGACUGGGGCAUUCAUAUCAGGUGGUCUGUAUCCACAUAUGCCACUUCGUGAAAGGUGGAACAGCCUAAUCACUAGGCUAUUUAGUGUGGCCCAGCCACGUUAAUCAAGCACAAGUCUUCAUACUUAAAGUCAAAUGGUGUCUUUAGUCUCAUUACACAUCGCUAUUUGAAGAUUAACUCAUCACUAGUGUAAUGCGAUUAAGACAGUCCUAACUCAAUAUUUGUUCUAGUUUUGGAUGCAAAUGCUUGCUGGUUUCAUCAUUGGAUGGGAUAAAGGUGCAAUCAGGACUAUGAAUACGUGCAGUAAUACUUCAUUCUCUUUUUUCUCAAUGAGACUUCUUGGCACAAUUUUGCUGCUCAGCAACCUACCUUUCCAUGGAAAAUCAGUUGUGACUGAUAGUAAUGGAUAUAUUCUAGAAAGCUAAACAUAGAUAGCAUUCAAUAUUAUCGAUAUAACAUUAACAGCGUAUGUCUCAAUGCUCAUCAGCUACAAGCAAUGGACAAACACUUUGAGUAACUCACAGCAGUCAAAAUUCCUAAACAGGACAGACGUGACAGAUCUAUAUAUAGAACACUGCAUAUGAGUCACAGGAAAAGAUAAUACGGGUACAUAGAAGCUCUUAUUUUACAUAUUACUCAUACUGAUCAAAGUCGCUCAGUUGGGAUGGAUGGGAGAAGGAGGUUUGAGGGGUGGCUUGUGCGGGGAAGUUGGCAGCUUCUUUCCGGGAGCUGGUUGCUUCUUUGCUGGAGUUGAAGGAGGCUUAAUCUUCCGAGGUGGCUUGUAUGAGUCUUCAGCAUUCUCAGCAGGAGGGUGACCAGGGUUGUGACCAUAAUGUGGUGGCUUCUCUCCCUUAGGUGGUUUGCCAACUGGGGUUGGUGGCUUGUUUUCUGGGAGUGGCUUCUCUCCCUUGGGUGGUUUGCCAACUGGGGUUGGUGGCUUGUGUUCUGGGAGUGGCUUCUCCCCCUUGGGAGGUUUUUCGAAUGGGGUGGGUUUGUGUCCUGGUGGUGGCUUCUCUCCCUUGGGAGGUUUACCAAUUGGGGUCGGUGGCUUGUGUUCUGGGAGGGGCUUCUCUCCCUGGGGAGGUUUAGUGGGUGGCUUGUGUUCUGGAGGUGGCUUCUCCACCGGAGGCUUAUGCUCUGGUGGUGGCUUCUCGAAGGGGGGAUGCUCAGGGUAAUCACCAAGUGAGGGGGUGGUGAGAACCACCAUGCCAAGCAACAACACUAGCAAGUAUGUAGUAGACAUCUUUGGGUUUGGACUCAGACAGUGCAAAACUACGAGAAAUCGCUAGCCCUUUAUAGCGGCUCGGACCUAAUACUGACAUAAUAUAAAAUAAAUAUUAUAUUUUAUCAAGAGAGAACAGAGUGUAAUUUUAUCAUUAAUACCGAUCGAGGCCAAAGAAAGAAGACCCAUAAUCCAUUUCCCACAAGCAUACACAAUGCAGCUGUAAUUUUAUCAUUUACUUUUAUCCCUUGGACCACUGCAUUUUUGUUGAGAGACACAAUAACACAUUUUUAUCUGUCAUUCAACAUUUACAGUAAAGAGAGGGCACAAAACGCAAUUAGAUAAAUUAUGUUUUGCCUGCUAAAAAGAGGCAAAUAACUUUAUUUGCAACAUAAUUAUUUUGGUUUCUAGUGACCCCGGGGCCUUUCGGUUGGUUUGGGAUCGGAAAAUGAACAUCAUAGGGGGGGUUGUGCCCUUAUGGGCAUAUAUAUCUGAUAGCUUCAACUGGCCUUGUUCCUAGAAAGAAAUUGCCAAAGAUAUAAACUUAUUCCAGGCUGAAAGUAGAUGAGAGUCAUAAUGAACAUCAACCUUUGUUCAGUUUGAUUCAAUGCCCCCAUAGUGUUCAUUUCACAGAUCUGAAUGAUUAUAUCCGUUGAAUACAUAAAUUAAUGAAGACAAAUAUGAAACCCAAGAUACAUCUCUGCAUAACAACCCCAACCCUGGUUGCUAUGUUUCCCUUCUUCUAUUCACAUGAGGAUACUGGUUAUAAUUGUCAAACUUGCAACAAGCCCUUUGACACCUAACGUCAAUGGACGAAUUAAAAGUCUCCUUCAAACGUCUAUUUCACAGCAUGAAGCUUAUAAAGGAUGCUGACAACCUUCAGAGUUAGCGACAAAAGAUAAUUAUCAAGGAGAGAUAGUUCCAUGAGAAUUCCAAGGAGUCUGAAUCAAAGACAAAUUGCUCACUCAAGGGUUCUUAUUUUCUUUUAGGUACAAAUCUCUUGAGUGUUGUUAAAGAAACACGUCACUGUCAUUUUGAUUUGCAUUUAACAUUUCACUUUUGUUCUGGAAGGUUUGUUCCGGAAACAUAUCAAAUGAGCAUCAUUUUCUUCUUCGGUGACACAUGGUCGCGAGUACGUGGGUCCAUUUUCAUGCCACUUAGUUGAAAAGUUGGAAAGAAAAAACAUGCCAACAAGAAGAUAGUGAGAGAAGGGGCACUUCAAGCCUUUAACAUGAACAAACAGUAAAUAAAAGAUGUUUCUCCACUCAUAAAAGUGUGUUAGAUAGCAAUAUAACGAAUCACAUCCAAAAUCUUUACUAGGCUCAAACAUAAAGAAGACUCAUUUUUAAGAAAAGAUAAAAAUGGCAUUGUCUGAUAGUAUCCAAUACACGAGAUGGCACUUAAUUUGUACAAGAUCUGUCAAUGCUGACGCACAUUUUCUGAUUAAAAAAAAACUGAUCAGUCAAAAGCAAUGAAGAGAAGUGAUGACAAUGAAUGAUGCUUCCAAUAUUUUCACCCCUUAUAGUGUUCUUCAUGAUUCAGAUAUAUAAUUGGAAAUAGAACAACCCUAUGCCAUACAUUCGUCUAAGUAUGGUGUCUAAUUUUUUGUGUCAGCGGUUGCGAAUGGAGCGUGCAAAAGUCCAAAUUGGCGUCUCUCCAUUUCCACAUAGGAAGGUGACCUUUAUUGACAAAUACCCAAUAUUUGUAGACAUUCCUUAAAUAUCAUAACUUCUUGUUGAUUUGAAAAUCAUUUUUCAACUACCAUGUUUUAAUAAAUAUUUUUUAAAAUGUAUUUUUAUCAAAGUCCACCAUGAUGGAUAAUAUUCACCAUGCAAUAAUUAAUAAAGUACAAACUAAGCGAAAUGAAAAGCAUUUUCUUUGCUUUGAGUUGAUUUUGGUUGCAUUGAGUUGAUUUUGGUUUCAUGGUUUUUUCAACUCUUAUUUUGAUUGGAAGAUGUCAAGAAAAGAAAACAUAAAGAAAAAUUAAAAGGGAAAAAAGAAGAAAAAUAAAAAAAAAUAGAUUUAAAAGUUAAUAAAUUAUUUUUUAUAUUUAUUUUAAUUCAUUUCACUUAUUUUUCUUUUACUAUAUAAAAUUUAAAUAAUUUAAAUUUUAUAAUUAAUUUAAUUACAUUUCAUUUUCUUCUAUAUUUAAAUAUUGGAAAAAUAUUUUACUUAAUAUUUUUUUCUUUAAUUUCUUUGGCAUUUUGGGAACCAAACUUAGCCUUUAAAAUAAAAAACAAAAAAAAAAUGAAAAUAAGGAGGGAAAAGUGAGAAAAGAUAAAAACAAUAUGUAAAGGAUUUGAAAAGUAUUAGUUUGUAAUUACUAUUUGGAUUUCAAUAGUAUUUUAUUUGUCUUUCUAUAUUUCAUGUAAGAGAGAAUUUAAGAUAUUCCCCAAGGCAAAGCAUUAGUUACCUGCAAUCAGUGGUGAUAAGGCUCCAAGCCAAUUUUGGGCCCCAUAUCUUAAGACAGUACAAUUUCCAUUUCAACAUUUCUGAUUUCUCAGAUGUUUCACAUACCACAGAAGAACAUUGUUUGUGAAAAUAUGCAUUUAUGUUGGAUUUUGUAUGCUGUGGGGACUGGGGCAAGGAUCAUAUGGAAGAGUGGUUGACUUUUUCUGUACUUUAACGGUUGAAAUAGGAUAAGCACGGGCAUUUGUGAGGCUUAAUUGAUUUUGAAGCCUGAAAUUGCGUUUCUGUCAUUUUGUCAAAAAAAUGGCAGAUUCCAUACUCAUAUGUUUGGCCUGUGGCCAUGUACAGAUGCCAUUUAGUGACCAGUUUGUAACUGUCAAUCGUUGCGUUUUGACUCUGCCUCAACAACAUCUGCCAUUGACGGGUUUUCAUACUUGCAAAUCAAAUAGUCUUUCGUCCCAUCAGGAAUUUCGGUUUAAAUAUUAUUAAGCAUACGUUUGGCUGACAAUCAUUAUCCAGUUCAUGAUUUGGUUUCUUACCCUUAAUCAAUGGUUUCUAAGUGAAUAUAUGUAGAAGGAAAUCCGAAGUGUAGACAGUAGUAUCGAUAACUCUCAAUAUUCUCUAUAUAAUAGAAUAAACAGCGUCAUAGUGAUCGUCGCCUACAAGCAAGGUACAAAUACCAAAACGAGUGACUCACAUAGACAUCUCCCAACAAGAUGUAGUAGUGACUGACACAUGGACACAAUUAACUCGUAGAAAAGGAUAAGACCAUUGCACAGCAGCUCUUAUUUUACAUACUACUUAUGCUAACCAAAGUCAAUUAGUUGGGAUGGGUGGGAGAUGGAGGUUUGUGCGGUGGCUUGUGGGGCGGAGUUGAUGGCUUCUUUCCAGGAGCUUCUGGCUUUUUCAUCGGAGCUGAAGGAGGCUCAAUCUUAUGAGGCGGCUUGUAUGAGUCUUCUUUACUCUCGACAGGAGGGUGGCCAGGGUUGUGAUCAUAAUGUGGUGGCUUCUCUCCCUUAGGUGGCUUGCCAACUGGGGUUGGUGGCUUGUGUUCAGGAAGUGGUUUCUCUCCCAUGGGAGGUUUAGCAAUUGGGGUUGGUGGCUUGUGUUCUGGGAGUGGCUUCUCUCCCUUGGGAGGUUUAGUAGGUGACUUGUGUUCUGGAGGUGGCUUCUCCACCGGAGGCUUGUGCUCCGGUGGUGGCUUCUUGGUUGGAGGGGGCUUGGGGUAAUCAGCAAGAGAUGGGGUGGUGAGAACCACCAGUCCAAGGAACAACACUAGCAAGUAUGUGGGAGACAUUUUUGAGUUUGGGCUGAUCAGAUGAUGCAAAACUAAAGCAUUACGUGACCUUUUAUAGCAUGUAGCUCCCAAUACCCACUAAGUAUUGUGGGGUCCAUUUGUGCCCUACGGGGUUGAAAACUUAGACAAUUGGGCAAGGACCCACCUGACUAUGGAGGACUAGUGAGGUGUGAUCAUAGCUUUAGGAUUUUUCUUCCUCUGCAGCCGUCGUGCCGUUGGCAUGAUUUUCUUAAUCUUAAAUAAAGGCAUAGUUAUAGAGUUGUUUAAUCUCUAAAUGGGAUUUUAUAUAUAUCUUCAGAUAGCCAUUAAUAUAUUUGAUGAAGAAAGAAAGACAAGUGCAUACAACAUGUAUACGACUAGCUUUCAUGGAGUUCAUUUAUGAUCAGUUUUCCUGUACAUGUAAACCAGGAUCAUAUAUAUGUUUCUGUUCCACAACUAUUUUGGAAUCUUGUUUAUCAGUUUUUAUCAUUAUAAUGUCACAUAGGCUGCCAACUUGGGCGCUAAAAGAACCAGUUGGGCUAGUUCGUUUCAGAAUUUCAAUGUGGAUUCAGGAAUUGUUUUGUAAGAUAUGCGAAAUAGUAGAGGGAUGAAUAGUGUUUCAUUAAUAAAAGUGUCCUGUAAAUUAGAAGGUGUCAUAGAAACUAUAAUCAAUAAAUAACUUUUUUUCCCCACGGGUGGUGUUUCUUGUGGGGAUCAGUGACUGGUUUAGGUUCACCCAAAAUGAGUUCAGACUAAAAUUGGUUUGAGUCAAUGCCGUGUCUCUUUUUUCCAGAAAUCAACUAUUUUAUGCAUUGAAUAAAUCAUACAAAGAAAAUAUGAACGCCCGCAAAACCUAAACCCUGGUUGCUAACUUUCUAUGUUUCAGUUCUAUUCACGCAAGAAUAUUAGUUUAAGUUUGGGAAAAAUGGCAACUUACCUAGUGAUUACUUGGUUUUGGUUUGCGACUAUUUACGCAACCAACCAUGAGUUUGACUUUAACGUCAUGGGUUGAAGCCUCCUACAGGAAGGGAGAAAGCUCCACAGCUAGCUCCAAAAGAGAAUUAUCACAUUGAUAGCUCCAGAGAUUCCCAAGGGGACUGAAUCAAAGACAAGUUCCUCACUUUUUCUUCUUUUGAGGCCAAAUAUGAACCAAGGAUCACACAACCUCAUUCAACUUCAUAAGUUUGAUUUCAUGCAGUUGAACACUGGGUGAAGGCCAUGACAAGAAUUGAUUCAAAAAUUCUAUCACUCUUUUAAGUAAUGGAAGAUUAUUAUCUCUGAUUGGCAUCACAACAGCACAUGCUCCUAGAUCUUUCUAGACACUCCAUGCAAUGAAAGCACAAUGGAUCUUGUAACGAUAGAAACUAAGCCAUGCUACAGUACUAGAUGAUGAGGUAAAACUAGUAGACACGGGUGGCAGCCUAUAUGGGAGGGACACAAGUCUAAUUGAUUUGCAUUUCAGCAUUAUAGAUAGGUAUGUUUUGGAAGAUUUGUUCUGGAAAUACCGCACCAAGUAGGAUUCUUUUUCUCUUUAGUGGGUCCACUUGCAUGCCAAUUAACGAGUUGAAAAGUAUGAGCACCUACCUCGUGCUCGUGGAACCGAAGGUCAGUGAAGUGGGGCUCCUUUUGGCCUCGUGUAAACUUGAUUCAGAAGUGAAGUUAAUAGUCUUCCAUUCAGAUGGAUACAUGGGAAUUUUUCUCUUUUAUUUAUUUAUUUAUUUUUUUUUUGUGUGUGUAUGUCAAAGGAUAAUGAAUGAAGCGCGUUAGCUUGUUUUCUGACUGGAACCGCAGAUGUCCAAAUUGGAGUUCCUUCAUUUCUUACUUAGGAUUGUUACAUGUAUAAACAAGGUAUAAGAAAUAUGCCAACGUGUCUUGAGGAGUUAUUGAUUAGAAAUAACAAGUCACCCGACUGUAGAGUUCCAAGAUUUGAAUCUUCAGACCCUAUAGCAGCCUCUGGGGUACGUGGCAUCCUAUAGCAUAUUAAUGAAGGCUUUUUCGAUUUAGACUUCACAAUACCAAUUAAUAUGUAUGCACAAAAUGGAGAUGACCCCAAAAAAAACAGAAUCGCCAUAGUUUAUGAGGUUAAGGUGAUUCUCCACUUAAUAUCUACAUUAGCUAAUUAUGUAAAUCAAAUGAACUUCUAUUUUUCCUUUUUUUUUUUGGUUUAUGUCAAAUAGUAGCCCAUAAUUAACCCAACCAUUAGCCUGUUUGAAUUGAUUUCACAUGCACAAUGUUGUAGUAGUUCAUAUUUUGAAUUUUAUUUUUACAAAGGUAGUUAAGGAAAAUGAAGUAUAAUAAUUAUAAAAGCAGACUAUAUACACUACAAUAAUUGUUAGAAUGGUAUCUCAAAUUCUAAUUUAAAAUAUUAUUUUUUGUAAAAGAAAUAUUAUAUAGAAUAUUUCCUAAUUUUAUAAAUGAUUAUAAUUAGAUCUUUAUAAAAUAAGGAAAGUUGGUAAGAAUAUCUUUAUAAAUAUUUUAGGUCAUGAGAGAAAGAAAUGGGAUAAAAAUGUGAUGAAGAGGUGAAAUAAGAGAGUUGAUUAGGAUAUAGAUGUGAAGAAGAAAGGGAUUCAAUAUAUAUAUAUCUUUCAAUUACCACAUUAAAACCCUGUGAACCUUUUAUAUGGUUUACUUUAUUUUUAUAUUCCUCCUUUAAUAUAUUUACAUUAAUGCUUCCAUUGGCACAACAAUAACGAAUUACAAAUACAAGCAACAAGUCCCAUGUUUUAUUACCAAAAGCAGGUAAAAUCCACCUAAUAUAUUACAAUAUAUUCAUCCAAUAUUUUAGACCAAUUCUUCACCAUAAAUAUCAUAAUGUGGCUUUUGUUCUUUCUUAAAUUUAAAUUGAAUUGUCUUAUAUCAAUUUGUUUGUGAUUUUUUCAUUAACUUCACUUUCAUUUGGUUAUCUUUGGUUUUUGAAAAGUAUUAAGGAAUUAAUUAACAAAAUAAUGUUAAGAAAAAUAAUUUUCUCUCUUUUGAUUUUGAUUUUGUAGUAGAAAAAUAUAAUUAAAAUUAUUUAAAAAGUAUGUAAUUUUAAAUUAUUUAAUAUUUAGAUAAAAAAAAUAAGUCUAAUGAGUUUAAAAUAACAUAUAAAAAUAAUUUAUUUAUUUUAAAUUUAUUUUUUAUUUUCCAUUAUGUUCUCUUUCUCUUUUACUUUUUCAUAUUUUUUCUUACGAAGAAUCAAACACAACCUCAUAUUAUAUGUCAAGUGUUUGUCUAUAUUUGAGCAAUGUUAGAUACGGCCAUGGAUUCAUCAAACUAAACUGAUUUUAAUAGAUACUUCACAAAUUGAUUUAUACACUAAAUCAUUGGAUAGCAAUGAUGCAUUGGAAUUAAACGUAGGAUGAAGCUCGAAGAACACUGUUUGUGUAACAACAUAUUUAUGAAAUUAUGCAAAGGAUGAGCUUCGGGGUAGUAGUACAAGGUCAUUAAUGGAGAGCCGUGUUAAACCUUGAUUGUGAUUGGAUUCCGUUAUCAGCAACAGCAACCUUGUUUGUAACCUUGAAAGUCAUUCUGUCCACAUCGAAACUCCAAUUUGACGUUUGUAAUUACCAUUCCUGGAGUGUUCCUUGAUUGAAAUUUAAAUAAUAAUUGCGGCCCACAAGGAAUAUUUUCGAUUCUGUGGGAAUUUGACAAGGUUUGUUAGAGAAGACUGGUGACAUGUUGACUUCAAUGGUUCAAAUAGGAGACGUAUGUGGAUUUGGGGGGUUUAAUUGAAACUGAGUCCCUAUGGCUUUUUAAUAUUUGCAUUGAGCAGUCUCCAUGUGACUUCCUAAUUCCCACCAACCCUCCUGUCCAUGCUGUGAAACUAAAUUGUAAUUUAUCAGCCUUUGUCAAUGGUUUCUAAAUUAAAGAUAUAGACCAUGCAUGUACUUUAAUAAAAGCAAAUCUAAAGUGUAGAUAGCAGCAAUGGUGACACCCAAUAUUCUCCAUAAAAUAGAAUUAGAAUAAGCAGUGUUACAUUGUUCAUGAUCACCUACAAGCAUACAAGAACUUCCAUGAAUAACUCAUAGCAAUUGCCAACAGGGCGUCGUAGAGACUCAUACAUAGAACACUAUCCACCCAGAGGAAAGGACAAGACCAGUGCGCUGCAGCUCUUAUUUUUCACAUGUAUACCACCACUCGUAAUAACCAAAUUCACUCAGUUGGGAUAGGUGGGAGAUGGUGGUUUGUGGGGUGGCUUGUGGGGAGGAGUUGGAGGAGGCUUUAUUUUCUGAGGCGGCUUGUAUGAGUGUGCAGGAGGAUGCCCGGGAGUGUGACCAUAAUGUGGUGGCUUCUCUCCCGUAGGUGGUUUGCCAAAUGGGCUUGGUGGCUUCUCUCCCUUAGGAGGUUUACCAAUUGGGGUUGGUGGCUUGUGUUCUGGGAGUGGUUUCUCUCCCUUGGUAGGUUUGCCAAUUGGGGUUGGCGGCUUAUGUUCUGGGAGUGGCUUCUCUCCCUUGGGAGGUUUGCUAAUUGGGGUUGGCGGCUUAUGUUCUGGGGGCGGCUUCUCUCCCUUGGGAGGUUUGCCAAUUGGAGUUGGCGGCUUAUGUUCUGGGAGUGGCUUUUCUCCCUUGGGAGGCUUGCCAAUUGGGGUUGGCGGCUUAUGUUCUGGGGGUGGCUUCUCUCCUUUAGGAGGUUUGCCAAUUGGAGUCGGCGGCUUAUGUUCUGGAAGUGGCUUUUUUCCCUUGGGAGGUUUGCCAAUUGGGGUUGGCGGCUUAUGUUCUGGGGGUGGCUUCUCUCCCUUGGGAGGUUUGCCAAUUGGAGUCGGCGGCUUAUGUUCUGGGAGUGGCUUCUCUCCCUUGGGAGGUUUUGUUGGUGGCUUGUGUUCUGGAGAUGGCUUCUCCCCUGGAGGCUUGUGCUCCGGAGGUGGCUUCUGAAAUGGCGGGGGCUUGGGGUAAUGAGCAAGAGAUGGAGUACUG
rnacentral:lncRNA from 1 species